rnacentral:lncRNA from 1 species
GACAAUGGCAACGAAAGACAUGCUAUGAUCGAAAAGGUUGAUCAUAAGAGAAAGGCAAUGUCUGAAGUAGUUCCAUGUUCUGUUCCAAAAGAGUCAAUUUGCUUUUAUUGCCAAGAGAAGGGGCAUUGGAGACGAAGCUGCCCUAUUUACCUGAGAGAUCUGUCACACCCCAAAACCGGAACGGCGGAAACGUUAUGGGGUGGAUGACGUCAUGACAAGUAUCACAACACAUGCAUUAUAGUAAUCAAAGUACAACAAAACAUUGCAUUAAUAGUAAUAGUUUUACAUGGUUUACUUUACAAUACAUNUAAUAGAAUAAAUACACCAUGGUACUAAGCUAUCUUCAUCAACAGCUCCGGGGAUGUACCUGNNNNNNNNNNNNNNNNNNNNNNNNNNNNNNNNNNNNNNNNNNNNNNNNNNNNNNNNNNNNNNNNNNNNNNNNNNNNNNNNNNNNNNNNNNNNNNNNNNNNUUCAUGCGUCAGAAAGAGGGGAUUUCGGGAUUUCUUGCUGUUUUUUCUCAUGGAUACUUGCCUUAUCUGUUUUAGAUCAUUAUAACCCGAUUUUAUUCAUAUUUUUGAGUAUCUCCUUGAUUAAACAAAAGAUAAUUACCAAUUAAUUAGAUAAUAACUUCCUUAUAUGAUUAAAGUUGAUUAUGUGUAUUAAUUGGGUAACUUAUUAUGCAAGAAAUUGAAAUUAGGUCUAAUAUAGAUAAUGAUGAAAUUAAUUGUUUAAUUUAUAUUAUUUGUUAUUUGAUCCUUGUGUUAUGAAAAGUUUCAAUUUUCCCCUUUAGGUUUUAUAGUUUAAAUUUGAACUCAAAUGUUUAGUUUUGAAAUUUAAAUAGUUGAAACCCUAAUGUUUUGAAAAAGUUUCAAAACUUGCCCUCAAGUUUUGGAAUUUAAAUUUUGAUUAAAAGUUUAAUUUAGAUGUAUAUUUAAAUUCUAAACCCUAAUGUUUUGAAAUGUUUCAAAACUUGUUCUCAAGUUUUGGAAUUUAAAAGUUGAUUAAAAGUUUAAUUAGGAAUGUUAAAUUCUAAAACCCUAGUAUUGUUUUGAAAAGUUCAAAUCACACCCUUAUGGUUUUNNNNNNNNNNNNNNNNNNNNNNNNNNNNNNNNNNNNNNNNNNNNNNNNNNNNNNNNNNNNNNNNNNNNNNNNNNNNNNNNNNNNNNNNNNNNNNNNNNNNNNNNNNNNNNNNNNNNNNNNNNNNNNNNNNNNNNNNNNNNNNNNNNNNNNNNNNNNNNNNNNNNNNNNNNNNNNNNNNNNNNNNNNNNNNNNNNNNNNNNNNNNNNNNNNNNNNNNNNNNNNNNNNNNNNNNNNNNNNNNNNNNNNNNNNNNNNNNNNNNNNNNNNNNNNNNNNNNNNNNNNNNNNNNNNNNNNNNNNNNNNNNNNNNNNNNNNNNNNNNNNNNNNNNNNNNNNNNNNNNNNNNNNNNNNNNNNNNNNNNNNNNNNNNNNNNNNNNNNNNNNNNNNNNNNNNNNNNNNNNNNNNNNNNNNNNNNNNNNNNNNNNNNNNNNNNNNNNNNNNNNNNNNNNNNNNNNNNNNNNNNNNNNNNNNNNNNNNNNNNNNNNNNNNNNNNNNNNNNNNNNNNNNNNNNNNNNNNNNNNNNNNNNNNNNNNNNNNNNNNNNNNNNNNNNNNNNNNNNNNNNNNNNNNNNNNNNNNNNNNNNNNNNNNNNNNNNNNNNNNNNNNNNNNNNNNNNNNNNNNNNNNNNNNNNNNNNNNNNNNNNNNNNNNNNNNNNNNNNNNNNNNNNNNNNNNNNNNNNNNNNNNNNNNNNNNNNNNNNNNNNNNNNNNNNNNNNNNNNNNNNNNNNNNNNNNNNNNNNNNNNNNNNNNNNNNNNNNNNNNNNNNNNNNNNNNNNNNNNNNNNNNNNNNNNNNNNNNNNNNNNNNNNNNNNNNNNNNNNNNNNNNNNNNNNNNNNNNNNNNNNNNNNNNNNNNNNNNNNNNNNNNNNNNNNNNNNNNNNNNNNNNNNNNNNNNNNNNNNNNNNNNNNNNNNNNNNNNNNNNNNNNNNNNNNNNNNNNNNNNNNNNNNNNNNNNNNNNNNNNNNNNNNNNNNNNNNNNNNNNNNNNNNNNNNNNNNNNNNNNNNNNNNNNNNNNNNNNNNNNNNNNNNNNNNNNNNNNNNNNNNNNNNNNNNNNNNNNNNNNNNNNNNNNNNNNNNNNNNNNNNNNNNNNNNNNNNNNNNNNNNNNNNNNNNNNNNNNNNNNNNNNNNNNNNNNNNNNNNNNNNNNNNNNNNNNNNNNNNNNNNNNNNNNNNNNNNNNNNNNNNNNNNNNNNNNNNNNNNNNNNNNNNNNNNNNNNNNNNNNNNNNNNNNNNNNNNNNNNNNNNNNNNNNNNNNNNNNNNNNNNNNNNNNNNNNNNNNNNNNNNNNNNNNNNNNNNNNNNNNNNNNNNNNNNNNNNNNNNNNNNNNNNNNNNNNNNNNNNNNNNNNNNNNNNNNNNNNNNNNNNNNNNNNNNNNNNNNNNNNNNNNNNNNNNNNNNNNNNNNNNNNNNNNNNNNNNNNNNNNNNNNNNNNNNNNNNNNNNNNNNNNNNNNNNNNNNNNNNNNNNNNNNNNNNNNNNNNNNNNNNNNNNNNNNNNNNNNNNNNNNNNNNNNNNNNNNNNNNNNNNNNNNNNNNNNNNNNNNNNNNNNNNNNNNNNNNNNNNNNNNNNNNNNNNNNNNNNNNNNNNNNNNNNNNNNNNNNNNNNNNNNNNNNNNNNNNNNNNNNNNNNNNNNNNNNNNNNNNNNNNNNNNNNNNNNNNNNNNNNNNNNNNNNNNNNNNNNNNNNNNNNNNNNNNNNNNNNNNNNNNNNNNNNNNNNNNNNNNNNNNNNNNNNNNNNNNNUGUCACACCCCAAAACCGGAACGGCGGAAACGUUAUGGGGUGGAUGACGUCAUGACAAGUAUCACAACACAUGCAUUAUAGUAAUCAAAGUACAACAAAACAUUGCAUUAAUAGUAAUAGUUUUACAUGGUUUACUUUACAAUACAUCAAAGUAAUACAGAUAAUAGAAUAAAUACACCAUGGUACUAAGCUAUCUUCAUCAACAGCUCCGGGGAUGUACCUGUCUAAUGCUGACCUGAGAAUACAAGUUAUUUGAAAAGCGAGUAUCAGCAUUUUUACAAAUGCUGGUGAGUUCAUAAGUAUUUAGUGGCAUUUUAUCCAAAUAACUUUAAUAAAAGUGGUAGUUUUAGAGUAUCCAUUACAUUAGUGUCUUUUCCAGAAAAUCCUAUAUUUUCUUUAAUAAAAGCAGUCUUCUACCAAGACUGGACGGAGUUAUGUGGUAAAAAGUAGUUUUCCCUUAAUCGCUAUCAUUAUCAAAAUACAGAAUUUGANAAAUAACAUAUGCCUUAGCAGUGAGGACUGCUGACUAAGGCAAGAGGAAUCAUAGACUCUAGGAGAGUAUCGAACAAACGACACGUCUGGCUCAGUCUAACAAAGGAAGACACAGACCCCAGCCGGUACCAAAUGAAAGGUAUGGUUAGUAAGGUCUAAAAACAGUGAAUACAGACUGGUUAGUAAGGUCUAAAAACAGUGAAUACAGACCCCAGACAGUAUCGAAUGAAAGAUAUUGCUAGCAAGGUCUAAAACAGUGAAUAUAAACCCCAGACAGUAUCAAAUGAAAGAUACAGCUAGCAAGGUCUAAAACAGUGAAUAUAAACCCCAGACAGUAUCAAAUGAAAGAUACAACUAGCAAGGUCUAAAAACAGUGUGACUCCGAGAGUGGGUUCCCAGCAUACAGUGUAAAUUGCUGGUGAAAUACCAUUACCUUAAAGCCAUGAAUUAUAAGGUAACCUGGNUACUCGUAACCAUACUAACGGACACUAGAGUGUAUCACGAUGUGGAAGCGACAACAAGUGCAGUAAGAGCGUCUGACAGGUAUAAGCUAUCACAAGUAUAAGCGAAGUAUAGGUAAUAACAGGUAUAAACGCAUCACAAAGUGAAAGCGUUAUCAAGUAGGAACUUUAACUAAGGAGGAGUAUCAAAACAUGGAAGAAAACCUUUAUUCUUGAGAAUAUCACGACAGGGCAUUCUGUUGUAAAAUAAGUUUGAAAAACCUUUAGAAAUCCUUUGGAAAACUCUCAUAAAUCAGUUUUAAAUGAAACGUUGAUAAAACAAUAUAAGUAAAAGAUUUGAAUAAGUGAAAACAUUUUAGAAAACCCUUUAUAGAAUCAUACUCGAUAAAACAGUUAACAAUGUAGUAAAUCCUUGUGCAUGCGGGUUAUCAAUCACAUGUGAUUGAUAUGAUAACUGGCAUGUUUAACUUGUAUUCCCCCCUAUAAAACAUGUAAAAACAUUGAAAAGGUUCAUUCAGGGGUAUGAACUCACCUGGUGUAAGUGGAUCCGACGAAGGUGCCGGUUGGGUGCUCGGUGUCAAGUAAAGACUUGGACACACUUAGUGACCUAUUUAACAUAUGAUAACAUAUGUUCACAUACAAUUAGUACAUUUAAUACUAAUUAAACAAGUAUACGCUUCCUAAGUGCGAAAACACUUUUAAUUAAGCGUUAGGGGUGUCCCGGGUAACAUUUAAGGGUGUGUAAUGAUGCGUGGGACUUGGGAAUUGAGUUUACUCUUCAAGAGUAAACUCCUUAGGGAGUUUUCGGCCACAUACCCCAUACAUACAUGAGUUCACGGCCGUGAACUCAUGAUUGGGUGUUUUAGGGUGAUAAAUAGCUUAAAUGCACAUGGUUAAUGUUGGAAUGGAUUUUUCUAAAGCCUUGGAAUGGAUUGUACUAGCAUAUAUGUUAUUUAUGGGAGUUCACGGCAGUAAACUUGGAGUUUACGGCCGUAAACUCCCCCAAGCUCAAACCAUAAUUAUUUUGGAAGGCUAGGACAAUCACAUGUGAUUCUAACUAAUUUUCCAAGCCUUGGUAUGAGUUUUGGGCAUCAUUUGACACCUAUAGAGGAGUUUACGGCCUUAUGACUUGUCCUUGGGGUGUCAUGGUCGUAAACUCUCAUUUGGAGGGUGUUUGAUAUGCUAAAGUCCCCAUACAAUUUUUACUAGCCUUGGUAUGAAUUUAGGGCACCUUUUAACAUGUUUUAUGAGUUUACAACCCUGGAACUAUUUAUUGGGAAGCUGUGGCCGUAAACUCCUAAAUGGAAGGAGUUUGACAUGUUUAAGGUCCCCAAACUAUUUUUAGAUGAUUCUAGGAUUUAUUCCAAGGCUAUUGGUGUAGUUAUAUGGCUUUUAAACAUGUUUAAAUGAGUUUACUCCCCAUGUUUGAGGGGUUUACGGCCCAAGCAUAUUCCUUGGCCGUAAACUCUUAUUUACUCUUCAAAAUUCAUGUUUAGGGUGUUCUAAGUACGGAUUUGUAAGCCAUAUAGUCGUAUCUAAGCCCAAAAUUGGUUUAGAGGGGUUUUGGGGCUUAAAAACCCCAUUAAAUGGUGUUCACGGUCCAAGAGUGUUCUUGGGCCGUAAACACAUCAUUUUGUCCCUAUCUUAUGAUUUAAACACGAAUUUGUAUGCUAGAUAGGUUAUACAAUAAGUUAGGAUAGUUUACCUACUCGUUUGGGGCUCGAAACAGACUUUUAAAAAAGUAAAUAUUCUGUUAACGACGUUAACGACAUAUAAUAUAAAUAAAUAAAACAUUUAUUAAUUUUGGCGACCUCUAAUUAACGGAACUUUUAUAAAAUGAAAUAUUCCGUUAACGGUAACGGGGUAAUGUAACAGAAUAAACUUUGGGUUGUCACAAGAUCUAAGAGAUGGGAGAGUCAAAACGUAUGGAUCUGCUUUAGGUAAAAUCCAUUGACUAACUCUUUUAAGCUCCUAUUCUAGAUUCUUAAUACAUAAUGUGAUAAGAUUAGAAUUGAUGUUUUGUAGGAUCGAAGAAAGGAGAGGAAGCUUAAGGGAAGAAGUGAGCAGAAUCUAACCGUGAAGAAAUGGAUUUCGAUCGCAUUACUUGAAGAUUAGAUUCUUGAGCUACUACUUAGAGUUAGAAUUAGAUUGCUAAGAAAUAUGUAUUAGCAUAGUUUUUCAAUGAAUUGCAUUGUAAGGACAAAUUUUUUCCGCAAUAAAAUAAAUUUUGAUUUUAUAUUAUUUAUUUAUCCUUGCAACGGCGUGUAUGAAAAAAUAUUGUUUGAAUAUUUCUAUUAUUAGCAAUAAUGGAUUUGAUUCUAAAUUAUGGAAAUGUCGAAAAUUUACCAAAUAAGGAAAGUUUCUAAUCGCCCAAGUUUCAAUUGGACAAAAACUUGGAAUCAUGCAACUUGGUUGCACGAUGAAUGAGAAAUUUCAUAUUUGGAAAUUAGACUAAUUCAUUGACAAAGUGAAGGAAUAGGAGAUCAAGUACACAAAGUUGCGUAUUGAUCAAGUCCACCAUAAGAGUAACCAAGAUAUUCAUCAUGAUUUACUAAAGGUUUAGCAAAUAUGAUUAUACUUAUAAGAUUAAGUGUAAUUCUGAAUUGAUUGAAAAUGUUUAAAUCAAUAGCGGAACGAAUAAGAAGAAUCAAGUAGGCAGAAAGAUAAAAGUUUCUCCAUUCUAAGAAGAAGGGAGAGUACCUUUUAUGCUUUAUGAUAGGGCUUAAUGAUAACCAUAUCUUAAUUGAUCCUCUAAGUAAGUCUUAGUAUAGUUGUAUGUCUAAGAAGAGGAAUCAAGAAUUGAAGAAAUGGUUAAAUCAAGAAGUCAAUCAUACUUUGUUCCAAAAUAAGUCUUAGAGUUAUGAUUGUGAAAUUGUGUAAUAAGUAUUAAGAAGGUUUAUAACAUUAAUCAAAUGUGGAAAGUUGUGAUGUCUUGGAUAAGACAAAGACCAACUAGGACCUAUUUAUGAAGUGUUUUGAUAAAAACUACACUAACUCUUGAAUAUUUGUCAAGAAAUGUUUAUUGACAAGAGAAUCUUAUAUAUCGAGGAGUCAGUGGGAGUCUUAAUGGUCUUGAAAGGUUUCAAGAACAAAUCAAAAUAGACCUUAUUGAUCAUCACUAGCACACGAGUUGAGGUUUACAACCUAUCGUGUUGACACUAUAUUGUUUCUGUGUCGUUCCAGUUGAGUUAAUUAUGCAUGUGAGCCCUAUGAGUUCUCAUUUGAAUGCAUAAAAGGCAAGGACCUUGAUCAAUGAAAAGUACAUUGAUAGGAAAAGGUGAGCUGCUUAACUACUUGGAAGACAUGGUGGGCAGCUGUGCUACCAUAAGGCAAGAAAUCAAGAUUAAGAAAGUUCGGUCCAUAUGAGUUUGAAUUUGUCGUAAACUUUGGUUUUGACAAAUUCACAUGGAUAGGAACACAUACACCAUUAAAAUCUAAGUGUCAUAAGAUUCCCUCCUUCAUGAAAGUGACUGUGAGGAAAUGCUUUCACUAAGAAAGAUUUUAAGAAGAUAGUGAUUGUGAAAUUGAAUUCUCGAAUUCGAUUAUGGUUACGGUAUCCCUCUCCAUGAUUCGAAUUGUGAGAUUUGGCAAUUAGUCUGAAUUGUUUAGACACACAUAUGAGCUAUCUAAAGGAAAGGUGUAUAAGCUUAGAUAAAGGAUUAUCAAAGCAUUAGGUAUUAGAAACAUGAACUUAAGGAAUUCAACAGGUAUUGUUUUUUUUGGAAGUUAAGCUGGUUUCUGAAUACAUGUCAAAGCUAGUGGGAGCAUAAGUGUUAUGUUUAUAUUAAUCAUCAUGAUAGUGGGAGCAUAAAUGUUAUGAUAGAGUAUGACUAUUAUAGAAAGUAUUGCAAGUUAGCAAUAUUAAUUAUAGAAAACAAGAGUUAUACUUUGAAGAGUCGUAAUAGUUGAAAAGUUGUUUUGCAAUAAUUAAGGGAGAGAAUAUUAUGCUUCAUUUCAAAUCUAAAGGAUUAGGUUGUGGAAUGUUAAUAAUUUAGUCAAGGAAACAUAGUGUGUUCACUAAUUUCGAUUAUGAUUACUGCAUUCCUCUUCAUAGUUCGAAAUUAGAGAACAUAGCACAUAAAAUAUUAUGGCAGAAGAUUGAUAAAGUAUCAAAUCUUUAUGUAAGACGUUAUGCAUCGUGUCCCAUACGCUUCGGGUAUAGGAUCGAUUGUAAAUGCUAUAAUAUUUGACCAUUCUAAAAUUUUCCAAAUGUCUAGCGCAUUUAGAGGGAAAAAGGACAAGAAUCGGUUUUGACUAAGAUAAUUAAAGAACUAUCAAAGGACAAUCCAAAGUUCGCCGAUGAUUGGUCGCUUGUGAGUAGUUGGAAGCAUGAUAUUGGAUGGACCAUAUUGACAUUAUUAUGAAUAGAUAAGAUUCUGUUGAGAAUGAGUUGUCAUAUGGCAAAUAUGGAAACGUGUCCAUAUUGGGAAUUGAAUAUUGAAAUCUAUGUCUAGAUUAGAAAUUUUAUGCAAAAGGAUGUUCAAAUGAAUGUACUUUGAGUGAAAAACAUCACAUCUAAAGAAUUGUCUUGUAACAAUCUCUGAUAGAGGACUUUGUAAUUUCACUGGCAAUAGUCAGUGUGACUUUAGAGCAGUGAUAUUACGAAAGGAUCAUUGCAUAAAAUGUUAGAAUCAAUAUUGAAAUCUAUGUCUAGAUUAGAAAUUUUAUGCAAAAGGAUGUUCAAAUGAAUGUACUUUGAGUGAAAAACAUCACAUCUAAAGAAUUGUCUUGUAACAAUCUCUGAUAGAGGACUUUGUAAUUUCACUGGCAAUAGUCAGUGUGACUUUAGAGCAGUGAUAUUACGAAAGGAUCAUUGCAUAAAAUGUUAGAAUCUAGCAUAUUCCAUAAGUGGCAAGAAUUUGAUAUUCUUUCACUCAUGAAAAAGGAUUAGGAGUUGUGAAAUGAGUAUGAUUGGAAAUGUGUUCAAUUUGAUCUAUUUCACAAAGUAAGAACCAUAGCUAAGCAUUGUGUGCAUGAUAAGAGCAUGGGACAAGUGUAAUAAUUCAAGUAAGAUGUUGAUUACCCGAAACAACAAAUAAUGAGUAAUCGAUAUGGUGCUAAAUUUAAAGUGUUUUAUUUAUGCUCAAAGGUUUGAGGCUAUAUGGAUUAGUAUUAUUCUUGUGUUUCACUUUGCAUGUUUUGACUUCCUGAAUAAUUUAAUUGGUUUAGAACAGUCAAAUUAUUCGAACGGACCACAGUCGUUCAUAUGUUGGAAGUACGUAUGAAUAAAGACUGUCAAUAAUUGGUGUGUGGAUUGUCUAAAGAGUAUUAGACAUAAGCAAAUGUUUGCUGCAACGUUCAUGAGUGCUUAUGAAUAUGAUUUGAGCAUUGGAUUAAACCCACGCUCACUUGGAUCACUCCAUGAAUUGUAUCACAAGUGAUUGGUGAGACGAUAACAUCUUAUAUUCUUGAAACCGAGAUGUGUGAGUUGUAUCUUGCAAAUCGGUUGCACAUUGAUAAUAUGUAAACGCACCAGUAACUUGGUGUCAUAAAAUAUAUUGUUGUGUGUGAUUCGGUGAGUGAGUGCAAGCGAGCAUUGAAUCAAAGUUUAUCCGUUCCUUUUAUCCAAAGUAGGAUGAAAGCGAUAUCUUUGGGCCCCUCGAUGAUUUAGUCAUGACAAACGUAAAUGCUCGGUCGGGCUAGGAGUAAUUUGAUUUGUUCAAUUAGUCUGUCGUCAUAAAUCGAAAGUUGAGAAAUGGUACAGAGAGAAUGAUUGGAAAUCAUGUCUCAUACGAUAUCUAGAAUGGAGGAAUAUAUGAUCCCUUAUCUAAAGGACAUGCAUAUCUGAUAGGAUCAAAGUUGACAGCGGCUUUGGAAAGCUACAAAUUCAGAUCAGGAUCUGAAGUCAUACGCAUAAUAGUUAUUAGACUUAUCCAAGUGGGAGACUGUUGGAUUAGUGUCUAAGUCCAUAACUAUUUUGGUAUGUACUUGACCCGAUGGUGCAUGGUCCUUUUGGGUUGCCUUCACCAAAGCAACUUGAUAGGAUGAAUUAUGGAGAGAAAGGAUUAAAUAUGAUUGAUUAAUAUAUUAUGGGAAUAAUAUAUUAAAGGGGAAAUCAUAUUGUUUAAUUAAUAUUAGUCAAUAAUUAAUAAGAAUUAAGUUUGUGACUAAAAGAGAUUAAUUAAACUGAAGGGACUGAAAUUGUAAUUAUAAGAUAAUUGCAAUUGGGCUAUGGAUUGACUUAUAUUAUAAGGAUGGACCAAUUCUAUGGGGAAACCCAUUAGAAAUCGUCCAAGGCCUUAAGGAAAGGAGUCCAUGGGUUGCUUAGGGCUUAAGCAUCCAAAUUAGGGUUUCCUUCUUAGAUAACCCUAAUAGCCUCACUAUAUAUAGAGCCCUUAUUCCCCAAAAACGUGGACAAGCUUCCUUCUAGGGUUUCCACACGUUUUGGGCAACCUCCCUCUCUUCUGUUCUUCAUCCUCUUGCUCUUGGUGUUUGUGAACCAUUAGAGGAGUGACAUUUGUGAUUCUAAGCUUUCUAAAGUCAUUACAAGGAGGAUUUGUGAUUGUUAUUGCUACAUAACAAUCAAGGUAUAAUCUAAACCCUUAUUAUAUGUUAUAUUGAUUAUCAUAUGCUAGAUCUAGGUUUUAUAGUCUUGGAUAAAUUGCAUGUACAAUAGAUAAACCUAGAUCCAAGCAUUAGGGUUUGUAUGCGCACAUAGGAUGUUCUUAUAGCCAAAACCCAUCAGAACUCACCUUGUGUUUGGUGAUUCAAAUGGUUCAAGUAAGCAUUGAGCAGUUCCACAAUUGAAGUCCCGAUAUACAAAUGAGUCCUAAUGACAUAUAUUGAUACAUAUAUGUGUAUAAUUAGUGUAUAAUACAACUAAUCAUGAAGGAAACAACCUAAGGGACUAAGGAUUUUGGACAUGAAGAGAUCAAUCACAUGUGAUUGAUAAAAGGGAAGUGUGUUGCCACACUUAAGUGUGUUUACGGCCAACACACAUGAGUUUACGGCCAAACAAGGAGUUUACGGCCAUAAAAUCAUGGACAUAAUGAUUAAGUGAGUGUUUUAAGGUCCUAGCAACAUCCAUUAAGAGUUCAAGGUCAAUGGCAUGCUUGUUGGAAGAGUUUAAGGCCCAAAAUGCAACAACCAUAGAGUUUACGGUGAAGGGUGUUCUUGGGCCGUAAACUCAAGAUCUUCUUGAGAAAUAGAAGUUUCUAGGGAUGGAGUUCAAGGCUUCCUAGUAGAUAUGAAGUAUAAUGAAGAGUACUUACGAUAUAGAAGCUUGAAAGGGUCGUUUUUGGCCAAGAACACUAGUGUAUGUUCUUGGUGUUUCUUGAAGAUCUAAACAAACAUGAUUUUCAUGGAUGAAAUCAAUGAAUGAAGCUAGUUUAUAAGGUGUAUCAACUAAUCAAGGGAUAUAAUACUUACACUUUUGAUGAUCUAAGGAUAGAAGAUUGGAUGAUAGUUGAGAGAGAAUGAGGGAAAAUCGACCAAGGAAGGAAAGAAAUGAUAAAAAUGGCCAUGACUUCCAAAUAAAGGGUGAGUUUACAGCCCACAUGGAGUUUAUGACCGUAAAAUCCAUUGUAGUGGCCGUGAACUCCUGACUUUUGUGUUGGCGGCUCGAUCAUUGUUCCGUGGUUCUAGCUGGUACUUCCUAGCACUGAUUUCUUGAGUGUAUUGGGCUCAUAAGACUCAAAUAGGCUCUAAACAAUGCCAAAUGUUAGCAGGAGUGAGUAUGACUUCUGUUCCAUCUGCAUCUAUUGUCUUGAUUGGCGGGAAGGUUUUAGUUUGGCUUCUAGGUUUAUUCGCAUGGCAGCACGAUCACUCGUAGUCUUGAGCAGUCUCCGUCCUAAAGUUCAUAAUAGAACUCAUACCAGAUUCAUUGAUCAUAGUCUUUUGUAUACGAGCUGUUUAUAAUUAAAAUUGAAAAAGUAGUCGAAUAAAUGAUUCCUCUCUAAACUCACAUCCAAACAUGGAAAAGAAGUUAAAGCGAAAUCAUCAAUUCUAAGCUUGUAGAACCUUGAUUAUGUUGGGUUUUGAGCAAUCUAACACUUCCUAAGUGUGCAUGCAACCCUAAUAAACCUUGGAUCUAUGUUUGUCUAAAUACAUGCAAAAUAAUAAUUUUCCAAGGUUUAUAACCUAUCUAACAUGGCAUGGGGAACAUUUCAACAUAAAAGAGUUAGAAGAGAUUACAUACCUUUUGGUGUGUUGGGUUCUUAGGAGUUUGAGGGCCAAGCACCAAUAGUGUGAAUGCCUCAAAUGGAAUCACAAACACCACAAACUCUUGGAAAACUUUGAGAGAGUAUACACACUCUUGUAUUUUCGGCCACACACAUGCACACACACACUAGAACACUAGCUUUCUCUUAGGCUAUCUUAGGCUCUCUUUCAUGCUCCAUAAGCAUGCUUAUAUAGUAUGCAUGGUUAGGGUGAAACCCUAAUAACCCAUGUCUUUUCCUAUUCCAAGGAUCCAUGGGUUAAAAGCUCCAUGGAUCAUCCAUGGACUUCCACAUAAGCCUAGCCCAUUAACAAAUGAGUAUUAGCCCACACUAUAUAAAACAAAUAGCCCAUAAUUUAAUUAGUAUUCCUUUUAAUCUCUAAAUUAAUCCAUAAUUAAUUUAAGACUAAAACUAAUUAAAUAACGUAACUUCAUAUUAAUAUAUUAUAACUCAUAAUAUAUUAAUAAACAUAUGUGUAUAACUCUCAUAAAAUUAUCCAUAAUAGUUUGGAUGAGAUGCAACCCAAAUGGACCAUGCCGGUCGGGUCAAGUAUAUACCAAAUAAGUUAUGGACUUAGACACCUUAUCCAACAGACUCCCACUUGGAUAAGUCUAAUAACUAUAUUUGCCUAUAACUUCAGGAACCAACCAACAAUCGUAGCUCUCGAAAACUCCCUCGAACAAUGAAGACUCUGUCGAACUAUGAAGCGCCAUUUUAGAUAAGUGAUCACAUAAUCCUCUGUUCUCAUGAUAUCAGCCGGACAAACACAUGGAACUAUGUCUUGCUUAUUGUCUAGCAGUUGUUUCUCGAUUAUCCGAUUUGUUUGACGAAGAACUUCACUGAACACAUCGGUUUAGUUCUGACCAGGCCUGGUAUAUGGGUCAACACAAAAUCAUCGAGGGGCCCGGAUAUCGCUUCUAUUUCUAGAAGGAACAGAUAAACUUCGACUGAUAUGCUUGUUCUACUACUUAUUGAAUUGUACACAAAGGCACGUUUUAUAACAUCAAGUUACUGAUGCGUUUACGUGCAAUCAAUGCACAACCAACUCAUAGGUAACAACUCAUAUCUCUAGGUUUAAAGAUUUAUAUGAUGUUAUCGUCUCACGAUCACUCGAGAUAAAUUCCAUGAAGUGAUACAAGUGAGCGUGGGUUUAUACCAAUACUCAUAACUUAUGAGUACUCAUGAAUGUUGCAGCAACCAUUGCCAUGCCUAAACACCUUUAAGGCAUCUACAAACCCAAUUCAUGACAAUCUUGAUUCAUACCUACUUCCGACGUAUGAUCGAUUGUGGAGGUUUGAACAAAUUAAUUAUUCUGGAAGUCAAAACAUGCAAAACUGAAACAAUAGUAAAUAAUUGACAAUGAUAGUAACACUUUACUCAUAAAUAAAUCACAAAUUUUAUUCAUCAUCAAACGUCGAUUACAUUUUACAAGUUUCAGGAAAACUAUCUAAUCUGUAAAACUAAUAUCGUCCCUCAGCCCGAUGCGUCUCGCAUGCUGAAAAUGCUUAACCCUCGUCAGUCCCUUCGUAAGGGGAUCUGCAGGAUUCUCAUCUGACGAUAUCCUCCUUGUCACAAGGAGUCCUUCUUCAAUCUUGUGCCUUAUGAAGUGAUAUUUUCUGUCAAUGUGUCGGGAUCUGCCAUGAUCUCUUGGUUCCUUGGCUAAGAUAACCGCAGCAUUGUUGUCACAGAAAAUCUCUAUAGGUUCCUUAAUAGCUGGUACAACUCCAAGGUCUCCGAUGAAGUUCUUUAGCCAUAUCGCCUCCUUCGCUGCUUCACUCGCUGCUAUAUACUCUGAUUCACAAGUCGAAUCAGCCACCGUCUCCUGCUUGGAACUCUUCCAAGAAAUUGCCCCUCCAUUUAAGGUAAAGAUCCAGCCCGACUGAGAGCGGAAAUUAUCCCUAUCAGUCUGAAAACCAGCAUCACUAUACCCUAAUAUUCUCAAGUCAUCACUGCCACCAAGGGUAAGGACCCAAUCCUUAGUCCUCCGCAGGUACUUGAGAAUGUUCUUUACCGCGGUCCAAUGAGCCUUGCCAGGGUUCCCCUGAUACCUGCUGACCAUGCUCAAAGCAAAUGCCACAUCAGGACGGGUACAAGUCAUAGCAUACAUGAUCGAGCCAACUGCGGAAGCAUAUGGUAAUUGGCUCAUCUCAGCUAUCUCAGCCUCUGUACUCGGACUCUGAGUCUUACUCAGUUUGGUAUUGCUUUGGAUCGGUAAAUCUCCUUUCUUGGAAUUCUCCAUGUUGAACCUUUUCAACACCUUAUCCAAGUAGAUACUCUGACUAAGUCCAAUUAGUCUUCUACUCCUUUCUCUUAAUAUCCUUAUCCCUAGGAUAUAGGUAGCCUCCCCUAGGUCCUUCAUAGCAAAGCACUUCCCAAGCCAGGACUUAACCUCCUGCAAGGUUGGGAUGUCAUUUCCUAUGAGUAGUAUGUCAUCCACAUACAGUACCAAGAAGCUAACUAUACUCCCACUAGCUCUGACAUACACGCAAGACUCAUCUUCGCUUCUCAAGAAGCCAAACUCUUUUACCUUCUCAUCAAAACAAAGAUUCCAGCUACGAGAUGCUUGUUUUAAUCCAUAAAUGGAUUUCUUAAGCUUGCAUACUCUAUUAGGGUACUCUGCAUUGACAAAACCCUCUGGCUGAUUCAUGUACACAUCCUCAGCCAACUUUCCAUUAAGGAAAGCGGUUUUGACAUCCAUUUGCCAUAUUUCAUAAUCAUGAAAUGCUGCAAUGGCUAACAUAACCCUAAUAGACUUAAUCUUGGCCACCGGCGAGAAGGUUUCAUCAUAAUCAAUACCUUGAGUUUGAGUAAAACCCUUCGCAACCAGUCGAGCCUUAUAAGUAUGCACUUUUCCUUCCAUGUCGGUCUUCUUUUUGAAGAUCCAUUUGCACCCGACUGUUUUACGGCCUGGUACAUUGUCAACCAAGUUCCAAACUUGAUUGUCAUACAUGGACUGUAUCUCGCUGUCCAUAGCCUCCUUCCAUUUAGCAGACUCCGGGCCUGCCAUGGCUUCCUUAACACUGCUAGGUUCAUCCAAAUUUACUAGUGUACUAUCACUAAUAAACGUAUCACCUUCCGUAGUAAUAUGAAAACCAUAAUAAAACGAAGGUGUGUUCCUAACCCGUGUGGAACGUCUCGGAGGUACAGACUCGUCAGCUGGAUCAACAGGAGUUUCUUCCUCAGGUUGAUUGCUAGUGUCUGAGGUUCCUUCACCAAUUGAUUCUUGAAUUUCUUCAAGAUCAAUCUGCCUCCCACUGUCUCCUUGGCUUAUAAAUUCUUUCUCGCGAAAGAUCCCUCUUCGUGCUACAAAGACCACAUUCUCACUGGGUCUGUAGAAAAGGUAACCGAAGGAUUUCUGUGGGUAGCCGAUGAAAAUACACCUUUCACUUCGGGGUUCAAGCUUAUCAUGAGUUUCACGCCUCACGAAGGCUUCGCAACCCCAAAUUUUGAUGUGGUCCAAAUUGGGAACCUUCCCAGUCCACAUUUCAUGAGGUGUUUUGGUAACCUUCUUUGUAGGGACUAGAUUAAGGAUAUGGGCGGCAGUCUCUAAGGCAUACCCCCAAAAAGAGAUUGGUAACGAAACUCGACUCAUCAUAGAGCGAACCAUGUCCAACAAGGUACGAUUACGCCUCUCAGCUACACCAUUCAGCUGUGGUGUCCUGGGAGGAGUCAAUUGUGAGACAAUCCCACACUCCUUAAGAUAGUCAAGGAACUCGGUACUAAGAUACUCACCACCUCGAUCGGAUCGAAGCAUCUUAAUGUUCCUGCCCAAUUGAUUUUCUACUUCCUGUUUGAAUUCCUUAAACCUUUCAAAGGUUUCGGACUUGUGUUUGAUCAAGUAGACAUACCCAUAUCUACUAUAAUCAUCAAUAAAAGUCACAUAAUACCGAUUAGCGUCCCUUGUGGCGGUUUUGAAUGGCCCACAUACAUCAGUAUGUAUUAGGUCCAACAAACCUUCACCCCUCUCACAAGUUCCAGUGAAGGGUGAUUUUGUCAUUUUUCCAAGUAGACAAGAUUCACAACUAUCAUCUGAUUUGAGGUCAAAUGAUUCCAAGACUCCACUCUUUUGGAGUUGGUCUAUGCGUUUCUUGUUUACAUGUCCAAGACGACAAUGCCACAAUGAUGCUUUAUCUAGGCUAGUAGAAGAAUCAAUAUACAACACAUUAUUUCCUAAGUUGUCUACAAUCGACACAGUUUCAUACACGCCAUCACAAGGUAAUGCUUUAAAAUAAAACACAUUAUUAAAGAAAGCAUUAAUACCACCACAUUCAUUAUCAAACGAAAAGGUAAAACCUUGUUUGUACAAAGCAUGAAAAGAAAUAAUAUUCCUCGCCAUUUCAGACGAGUAUACACAUUUAUUCAAAUCUAAUUUUAACCCAUUAUUAAGCAACAAAGUAUAAACUCCAAUCUUGGAAACAGGUGAAGCCUUCCUAUUCCCCAUGAUUAAGUUUAUCUUCCCGUGCUCCACAUCCUCACUUCUUCUUAGGCCCUGCAAAUCAGAACAUAUGUGAAUACCACAUCCUGUAUCAAGCACCCAAGAGUUAGAAUAUGUUGAGUAAUUAGACAAUAUAGUGUAAAUACCUGCAUAGGUGGGUUUCACUUUCCCAUCCUUUAGAUCCUGCAAGUACUUAGGGCAGUUUCGCUUCCAGUGUGCCUUUUCAUGGCAAUAAAAGCAUUCAGCAUCCUUUGGAAUGGCAGAAGGAGUGACAGAACCGUUCUUAGUCUUGGAUGAGGAGCCUUCAAGAGACUUUCCCUUGGUACCCUUCGAAGGGUGCUUCCUCUUUUUCCCUUUGCCUUGCCCAAUAGCUAAAACAGGGGUAGAAGUUGGAGUAGGAGUAGUAGAGGUAACAACCGCUUUACCCUUAAGACCGGUUUCAGCGGUCUUCAAGAGUCCUUGAAGCUUGCUGAGGGUAACUUCCUCCUUGUUCAUAUGAUAUGUCAUUCGAAAAUGAUCAUAACAAGAAGGCAAGGAGUGCAAAAUGAUGUCAAUUGCUAACUCCUCGGGGAUGUUAACAUUCAGCUUCAGCAAACGGUCCACAUACCUUUGCAUCUUUUGCAUGUGGCCCGUGACGGAUUCACCGUCCUUCAUGCGGGUAGUUAUUAUGGAGGAGAUUAUUUCAUACCGCUCCUGACGAGCACUCUGAUGGUACCUUUCCAUCAAGUCUUGGUGCAUCUCAAAAGGGUAGAAAUCUUCAUAUGACUUUUGGAGCUCGGCUGUCAUCGUGGCCAUCAUGAUACAUGCCACCUUAGUAGCAUCUCUCUCAUGAGUCCUGAAUUCAGCGAUCUCCUCAGGAGUAGCAGUAGACUCAUCAAGUUCUUUUAACUCCUUAUCGAGGACAUAUUCCUUGUCCUCGUAACGAGUAACCAUCCUGAUGUUCCUAAUCCAAUCCAUGAAGUUGGAACCAUCAAAGAUGACCCUCCCACAAAGAUUCAUGAGAGAGAAAGAACCAGUUGGGUUAGAGCCUGAAGCAUUAGUGUUGGAAGACAUCUGAAAGAAGAAAGUAAGUUUAGAUUAGAUAUUUAGGAUCCUUAAUAAGACACCCAAAUGUAAUAUUAAGGCUAGGAUCCAAUCACAAUAUAUUACACUUAGAAGAGGGAUGCCGUAAUCUAAGUAAUAAUAUAUUUGAAAGGUAGGCGAAUGACGAUUCACCAAUUUCCACCAUGAAAACGAAAUGAUUAAUUAGGUUUAAUUGGAUUUGAAAUUCCUAGAUUCUUUUGAGAUUCAUUGAACUUUUCAAUGGCAUGUUUCAAUCUCGAUUGUGCCCUUCAAGUUUUGUGACUGGGAUGCCGAGGAUCACAAAACAAGGUGUGAAUAACCAUGCUAACUCACUUGGUACUCCUAAUAUUAUCACCUAAUCAAUGUGCCGGUUAACCACACACGCUCCAUUGAUCUAUGACAACAUUAAGUUACCCUUCGUGAUCCUUACUAGUCUAAUUAGUGUGCCGGUUAACCACACACGCUCCACUAACGACUUGGUAAGGUACAAAGUGUGAAUUCCAUGGAUUAGCACCAUGUUCACAUUUUCCUAAAAUAACUAAGAUUGGGAAUUAAAAGAGUUUAGUUAUUUUAUAAUAUUCAUUAUACUUUUAAUGAGGAUUUAAAGUCGUUGUUCUACCCGUUCGGCUAACGACCCUCCACCGAUCAAGCAAGCGGUGGGUGAGAGUAUACACCCAUUAAGUCGCCAUUUUAUAGGCAACAACCUUAUACCCACCUUAUAGACCGGCUUCGUGAAUGAGGCCUACUAACGGUAAAACGACUUAUUCUUAUACAUAUAUAUAAUAAUUAACCAUUAAUGUUAUAAAUAGUAUAAGGGUUGAAUUUUAACUAUUAAAACUCUAAGGUUUGGAAUUAAAGUUUAUUAAAGUGUGUGAAACUUUACAAAUUCCAAAACUUGAGGACAAGUUUUGUAACUUUGCAAAACUCUUCAUUUCAUAACUUAUGAAUUAAAGGUUCAUAAAAAUGAAGACUCUUCAUUUUCAUGUAACUUAUGUGUUUUAAGUGUGUGUUAAAUGAAAGUGACCUUUGGUAAUCCAUAACUUGAGGACAAAUUAUGGACUCCAUUAAAACACAUAAAUGAUUAAGAAUUAAUUCUAAACAAUUCAGCAAAUAAUUCCUAUCAUUUUCUAAAUUCAUAAGAACAUGAACAUGAUCAUCAAAAAUUCAAGAAUUAUAUGAACACAUAAAAUCAUGGAUUUUUGAUAUAUGCUAUUGUAAAUGGAUUAGAACAACCAUUACACCAACUAAAAUAAGUUUUACAACACCAAAACAAUUUAGGGUAAUGUUUCCAGUCCAUUUCCAGCAGCAAAAGUCGAGAUUCUGCAUUCUUUCGAUCCUACUCGCCGAGUGCACGAACGGACUCGUCGAGUAGGUUGAAGUUUGCCUUGGACUCGGCGAGUCCCCCCAAUGGACUCGGCGAGUCUAGCAUGCAGACAGCAACGAUUUCGACUUUUUUCACUAUUUUGCAUCAAGUAUCAAACAAGCAAGCCUAGGCUCUGAUACCACUGUUGGGUUUUGAGCAAUCUAACACUUCCUAAGUGUGCAUGCAACCCUAAUAAACCUUGGAUCUAUGUUUGUCUAAAUACAUGCAAAAUAAUAAUUUUCCAAGGUUUAUAACCUAUCUAACAUGGCAUGGGGAACAUUUCAACAUAAAAGAGUUAGAAGAGAUUACAUACCUUUUGGUGUGUUGGGUUCUUAGGAGUUUGAGGGCCAAGCACCAAUAGUGUGAAUGCCUCAAAUGGAAUCACAAACACCACAAACUCUUGGAAAACUUUGAGAGAGUAUAUACACCUUGUAUAAAUCGGCCAUACACAUGCACACACACACUAGAUCACUAGCUUUCUCUUAGUGUAUCCUAGGCCCUCUUUCAUGCUCCAUAAGCAUGCUUAUAUAGUAUGCAUGGUUAGGGUGAAACCCUAAUAACCCAUGUCUUUUCCUAUUCCAAGGAUCCAUGGGUUAAAAGCUCCAUGGAUCAUCCAUGGACUUCCACAUAAGCCUAGCCCAUUAACAAAUGAGUAUUAGCCCACACUAUAUAAAACAAAUAGCCCAUAAUUUAAUUAGUAUUCCUUUUAAUCUCUAAAUUAAUCCAUAAUUAAUUUAAGACUAAAACUAAUUACAUAACGUAACUUCAUAUUAAUAUAUUAUAACUCAUAAUAUAUUAAUAAACAUAUGUGUAUAACUCUCAUAAAAUUAUCCAUAAUAGUUUGGAUGAGAUGCAACCCAAAUGGACCAUGCCGGUCGGGUCAAGUAUAUACCAAAUAAGUUAUGGACUUAGACACCUUAUCCAACAGAUUAUACACCAACAUUGUGUAUACAUUCCUCUGCGAUAGAUCAACCGUAGGGGUCCUUGGUAUUAAACUUGACGUACUGUACGAGUGGUAUUCUAUAGAGGUUUGCUGAGGUUACUUUGGGUAAGCUACAAAACAUAAGGCACUCUACGCAUGAGUACUUCUGAGUUCUUGGAACGACGGCUUCGUUUGAAUGUCGGUUACAGGGAAAAGAAUUCAGCACGAAACUGGCACUAUGAGGAUCGAAUCGACUCAAGUCAUUUAAUGAAAAACUACUCGCAAUAACUGGUGUUAGACUAGAUCAAAAAGAUGUUAUAAAAACACAACGGUGCAACUUAUAAAAGAGUUUUAAUACAUUAGUUCCAUCUACGAAACCACAACUGCGAACAAGAUAUACUGCUAAAGGCAAGUAUAUGCAGCACGAGAGUCCCUGACAUUGAUGAGGUCUCGAAAAAGAUAAAACUCUAGUUGGACUAGUUUUCAAAAGUUUAAAAGUCUAACAUUUACGCUACAGAACACAUUAGAAUUUCAACGUGGAUCCGGAGUAGUCUCUCCUGCGGCUGUGAUCAUCAGUAUUCUUCCGUUUGCGUCAGAGUUCCUUGUUAUUGGGAAAUGUCUCUUCAAGUGCCCUGUCUCGCCGCACCCAUAUCAAGCCUGGCUGAACUCGGUGCCUGGGACAUGGGAGACAGGUUGUGCUGGUGCUCUACAGAACGAGCAAUGUGCCUCUUUUUGUGGGAAUUUUUACAAUGCAUCUCGUGGCACGCUCCGGUGUGAUGAAAUGCGCACCUGUCACACUUAGGAAGUGUUCCAGCAUAAUUAUUGAAAGUUUUUGGGUUGGCCGGAGUUGUAGCAGCGUAAAUCUUCGCCUUCUGCAUUGAUUUCCUUUUAUUAUCAUCCCAAGACUUUCGCUUGCAGGCAUCCCCCUUUGAUGACUCAGAAUUCAGGGUAAUUACGCCUUGACCGACUUCGUGGUCAACAAGUCUCUGAGCCAAGCGCUUUGCGCUACCGAAAGUGAUUGGUUUGGAUGAUAAAACAUCUCCUUGCAUUGGAGGAAAUAAUCUACAAAUGUAUCUCUCUACCUUCUUACUCUCGGGAGUAACCAUCUCUGGGCAUAGUGCCGCAGGUUCACUAAAUCUAUUAAUGUAGGUCACUAUAUCAGACCCAACCAUUUUGAGAUUCCAAAGCUCUUCUUCCGGCUUUUGAAUCUCACCUCUGGGGCAGUAUUCUUCUCUCAAUAGUUCUUACAUGUUCUCCCAUCCCAUUGAAUUUUCCACUGUCAGACCCAGUGACUUCACAUGGCCAUUCCACCAUGUGAAGGCUCUCUAUGUGAAAGUGCAAGUGACGAACUUUACCUUGCUUCUUUCCGGACAUUUGCAGAUUUCGAAGACUGACUUUGUCUUUUCAAAUCAUUGCCUCAUAACAAGGACUCCUCCAGUUCCAUCGAAAUCUUUGGGCCUGCAGUUCCUGAAUUCCUUAUAGGAACAUUCUUUCUGAUGCACAUGAUUAUGGGUGAUGACACCUUCACCCGUCUCGCCGGUAACUGUCGCGUGGUAGUGUUCCAUGGCUACGGAAACUGUAGCUGUGACUGCUGCCUGUAAUACUGCAACAUCGAAUUGUGGUGGUGGUGGCGGUGGUGGAGUUCCCGUCGCUUGGGUGAUAAAGCGUAUAGGAGUUCUUCUGGGAGGCAUCUUUUAUCUAGAUAGAUGAAAGACAAGAUAGGGAUAAGUUUUUAGGAAUGAAGUCAAGUCAAAUGUUAUUUCGAACUGAGGGUUUCAUGUUUUCAAAGUGAUUCUGGAAACAAUUCAUAACAGAGGUCUUUAGACUUAUGAAUUCAUGGUUGUGAUUAUCCCUAACUGAAAGCCUAUGAUCUGAUUUACCGUAACUUACAAGUUAUAGGUGUAUAGACUUUUAUCCCAUCACAUAGUGAGUAGUAGUGUAUCCACUAACUCACUAGGUCGUAUUAGUCUACUAGCUAUUAGAGUGACGCGUAAGGUUCCUGUCACUUGGUAUGACUCGCGAGUGGUUUCCUCUGGUCCCUGUCCUACUCCUGAUGUAAGUAAUCUGAUGUCCUCUUAGGUUCCUAUGAUGUCAUCUGGCAUACCUUUAGCUUCGUACUCCUUGUCUGAUCCCUUCUCGAAGUUCUCUCUGUGGUUUCCUCCUUGUUCUUCCUUGACUCCUCUGUCGACUAUCACAACGAUAUAGUGUCUUUAACUAAGUCGUUGGUUCGAGAAUGGAAAUGUGUAAAGAACCAAUGAGAAUACUUAAUCUAUUUCUAGUACUAAAUUUUUAACUUGAGAGCCUUAUUGAGUCUUUCUAUAAUCACAUAGGGUAUACAAAUUAUAUAACUCGGGUCUAAUAGUCAUUCGAAUAUGUGAUACUACUCCAAAUCCACAUCCAGACAAGGAAAAGGAAGUGAAGCGAAACCACACAUUCUAAGUCUAUGAGAUCUUUAUUAUAUAUAACUCUAGGAUAUCUACACUUUGCCAUUAUAGACCGAUUAGUAAAGGUCUUUUUAUUCUCAUAUAAUUAUUUACAGUUAUUGAAGAUACCCCUAUAGUAUCUCUGUUUUGGGUUUGGUUCUUAGGUUUCUUGUUAUCGUACACUUUUAGUACUAUUAUUGGAUAGUAUCUCAAAAUACACAGAUAGUAUUUUACUUUAUGUUUACUUCUUAAGACUCCUUUGGACCUAGCAUUUGGUAAGUUUUAGGUUUGUCGCAACACCACUAUCAUCCCCGAACACAUGUUCAGCAUAUCUAAAAUAAAUAUAGCUGAUCAUGCUAUAUUUAUUCCAGAUAUGAUUACAUAACUUUCCAAUUUUGACUGUUGUCCCCAACAAUUAAAUACUUUUGUUCUGUUCUACAUGUGAUACUUAUUCUAGUAUGUAUGUAUGUGAGCAUGUAUACUUUUGGAAAAUAUUGAUAUAUUUAUAAAUGUACUUUUAGACAGAGCACUUCAGCCCCAUUGUAUUUAUAGUUGUAUAUCUUUUAUAGGUUGAUAUACUUAGUUCACUAUAAACAAUGCUCUGAUACCAAUCUGUCACACCCUAAAACCAAGAAGGGUAGAAACGUUCUGGGGCGGUGGACGUCAUAUGUAGUAUCACGACAAUUGAAUAAAGAAAUCAAAGCAAUAACAUUCUUUAAUAUAUAUAAGUAAAAGUGUUUACGUUAAGAUCAAAACAUUACAUGUGGUUAUAGCAUAAUAGUAUCAGUAGAUAAGACGAGAAAAUAUUGCCCCGUCUUCACGAACUCCGGUUGGAUACCUGUCUUAAUAUUAUACCUGAGAAUACAAGUAUUUUGAAAGCGAGUAUCAGCUAUAAAGCUGGUGAGUGCAUAAGAUUUAGUUUAAAGUAAGAAACUUCUUUGACAUUUAAACAAGUUUGAAAGACUGACAAGAAAACCCUAUGUUUCCUUAAAAGUAAAGUAAUAUUGAAACAAUUUCUUCUAUAAUCAUUUAGUAUAUACUAAUUGCAUAUAAUCAAUAUGAGAUGGAUAGUCAGUUGUGUAAUUCGGUCGUACCCCCAUAUGCAAUCAAGGAAAAUGGAAAGUAAAAUUGGGUUCACACAAUCUCCAAUCUAUCUACUCUUCAUUAUACAUAAUCUUUCGUAUGAACUGAAGGAUUAUAGUUAUAAUUAACAGUAAUCUGUACUAUUUUGAUUCUGACUAAGAGAUGAGUUAUUAUCCAUGAAAACUUAGCUUAUACACGUUACGAUAUAAUCAAGAUGGGGCGGAUAAUAAAAUGUGUGGUUCUACCCUAGUUUCACAUCCAAACAAGGAAAAGAAACUAAGUUAGAAACCUAACCUUCUAUGGUCUACCAGAUUUUCGUUAUAUAUAACUCGGGAAUGUAUAAGCGAGGGAAUCAUAAUAAUAACCUUCUUACGAAUCCUUUUUAGUGAACUAGAAUGCCUAGUAAUUCUUACUAGAAUACUUAGAAAUGUUACCGUUGAACCUAGGAAAACCUAUAUUCCCUAACUGUUAUUGAACUGUGGUAUUAUCCCCAAAAACCGUUAUAUUGAAGGAUGGCAUACCGUGAUAUGGAAUAGUUAACUAGUAACCCUCCAAAAGUACGACUUAAUGAAUGUGUAAGUAUGCUAUGGAAUAGCAUACUUUGUUUUAUAUCUCAUAAAACCAUUCCAGAAAUGGAUAUUAUGCUUUUGUAAAUAGCAAGUUCAGUCUCAGUUCAUAGUAUAAGAAUUAUACUACGAAAAGACUAUUGUAUGAUCGUUAUGUUCUUCUGAAUAGUACUAUGAAUACACUUUGAAAAGACUGUCUCGUGAUUCACAUAGUAUAUACUUAUUAUACAUAAUCAGAAAAGGACGGACAAUGGAUUGUGUGAUCCUGUCGGACCCCCACAUCCAAACAAGGAAAAGGAAAGCAAAACAGAGUUCACCUAUUCAACUGUCUAUCAGUUUCUCAUUAUACAUAACUUUUGGGUAUAUACUAGGAAAUUAUAGACACUACUACCUAUGUGCGUUUUAUGUUAGCGUGUUGGUGCUAUGCGUGCGUACCCACGUAUGUUUGGUGUCGUGGUACAAAGCUCGCAUACCCAUGUUAAUUGAUGGUACGGUACCGUGCCCAGGUACCCUUUUUAUACGUGUGGUACAUUGGAAGAUGUACCUUCUUGAGUUACUUAAGUUUAGUCCGUAUUAUUGUUCGUAUAUUCUGAAUAGAUAACUAACAAGUAUUAUAUCUCCAUGUACAACUAUGACAUCCAUGAACUACCAAGUGAAACGUAUUGAUCUACCAAGUAAUGAACAUUGACUCUCUAACUAUACUCUAGUAAGUUCUUUAUAUGUAAUUGACUGAACUGAGCUGAAAGAAUACCAUUGCUACCCAAGGUAUUAACUGACUUCUAGAACUUUUAUAUCUACAUACAUAUACAUGAUAUACUAGUAAUUGUAACGACAUAAAUUUCCAAAACAAAAUUUUCAUUUUUCAACAACCAAAUUCAUAUAUAAAAUAUUCUCAAAAUGUAUGCCACAAUAGUUAUCAAAUCAAAACAUAUCCCAAGAACUGAAAUCAAAUCUCCUCGCAGUGUGUACGGGUCACGCCGGCGCCUUCCGACGGUCAACAACUGUAAGCAUAAAUGCUUAGUCAGUUCCCCAAAAUAACCCUUACACACAUACGCCUUUCCAGGCCAUACUCUACACGACCUUCCGGUCCAUGUGUCUCAGAGGACUUCCAUCCCAGUCCCAGUAGACCUUCCGGUCCUACUCGUAUCGACUUUCUGGUCCAUGACUCCCUGACCUUCCGGCCCACGUCAUAAUGCCUUCCGGCCCAUAUCAUACAUAACAUACAUAUCACAUACAUAAUGUAUACAGAACAUGCAACACAUAGCAUAAAAAAUAUGCAUCUCAUAGCAUACAAGACCUUCCGGUCACACAUAGGUACCUUUCCAGGUACAGUAUAGUGAGAAGACUCACAUCGGGUAACUCGGUAACUCGGAAAUCUCGGACUCUGUGAGAUAGGAUCUAGCCUGCGCCUAAUCAUAACAAACACUUCUCAUUAAUACAUUUCCCCAAGGCCAGACUCUUUCCUUUCCUAUCAUUCUCAGAAGGGCAAAAGACCAUUUUACCCCUCUCAAGGCUCAAAUACCCUAAAGUUGACCAAACCCUAAAAGCCAACAAAACUCAACCUUCUGGGGUACGCGGCGCGUACCAGAUCUGUACGCUGAGUGUACCUGGUGGCUUCAUAGAAGCGGGGUACGCGGCCCCUUACGUCGCGCGUACUGGGAUUACGCCCAACGUAACUCCCAACUUUCUCCUCCUUUUCAUUCAGUUCUAAAUCGUUUAAGACUUGCGUCCAAAAUCCAGAUUUGACUUCUCUAAUACGAUUUAAUCCGUAAAGUUGAUGACUUUAAGCCUUUGCAUGGCUGUGGAAGUCACAAACACCCAAAACACUCCAUUUCCAACCUUAAAAGGUCCAUAUCUCAUGCAUGAACAACCUUUAACAACCAAGACUGGAUUUUUAUCACAUAACAACACUAAAUGAGCUAGUAUGGGACAGAUCUCGGCUUUUAAGAGCUCAACUACUCAAAAAGCUAUGAACUUGGGGACCAAAAACCCUAAAACUUCUCUCUACAAAUUAUGAACAAAAAAGAUGCAAAGCUUGAAGCUUUUUACCUCAAAAUGAAACUUCUUUCACUGCUAAAAUCGAAUCCAAAAGCUUGAGCUCCAACUCUUCCUCCUCCAAGGCUAUCACUUUGCUCCAAAUGACUAGGAACACAAUACUAAGCCCUCCUAGACACCCCCUUGCUAUAUUAAUGAGAUUUAGGGUUUUGAAAUGGUAAAGCUCUGGAAAAGGUGGCCAACAAAAGGGUCUUAAGGUUGCUUAAAUAGGGAGGCUCAACAUAUUAGGGUUUCUUUUCUGGGCCGAGUACACCCCGCGUACACAUUGGUACACCCCGAUCAAGACGCGGACGGGUAUGCUGACCGUAUACAGUACGCCUCGCAUACUCGCCAAACAUGCAUUUCCUUAACAAGGGCCCAAUGUGCCCCUUGCUCAAAGAUGAAGGUUCAACGUAUGCCUGAUUUUUGGGAUGUUACAAUUCUCCCCCACUAGAACCCGACUUCGCCCUUGAAGUCUCAAGCUGCGAACAACUCCGGAUGCUGCUCCCGCAUCUCCGACUCCUGCUCCCAGGUCAGCUCGGACCCUUUCUGAUGUUGCCACUGGACCUGCACCAGGGGCACUUCCUUGUUCCUCAGAACCUUGAUCUUCCAAUCCAAGAUUGCGACCGGCUUCUCAACAUAAUUCAGACUCGCGUCCACCUGGAUAUCCUCUAAUGGAACCACUGCCGACUUGUCGGCUAUACACUUCCUCAGCUGCGACACGUGGAAGGUAUCAUGAAUCUGUCCCAACACCUCGGGCAGCUCCAGUCGAUAUGCUACCGUGCCUACUCUCGUGACUACCCUGAAAGGACCAAUAUACCGGGGACCCAACUUGCCCCUCUUCCUGAAUCGGAUCACUCCCUUCCAAGGAGAUUCCUUCUUGAGCACAAAAUCUCCGACUUGGAACUCGAGCUCGGAUCAUCGCCUAUCCGCAUAACUCUUCUGGCGACUCUAAGCGGUCAACAACCUCUGUUUGACCUGCUGUAUCUGCUCUAUCGUCUGAAGCACUAUCUCUGUACUACCCAUCACACGUUUCCCUACCUCACCCCAGCAAAUGGGGGUCCGACACCUCCUCCCAUACAGCAGCUCAAAGGUGGCAUACCAAUGCUCAAAUGAUGGCUGUUGUUAUAGUAAAACUCAUCUAAGGGGAAAUACGUGUCCCAACUCCCACCGAAAUCCAGUACACAUUCCCGAAGCAUGUCCUCGAGCGUCUGAAUCGUCCGCUCGCUCUGUCCGUCAGUCUACGGUACUAAAAUGCAGCUUCGUACCCAAUUCCUCAUGAAAUUUCUUCCAAAAUAUGGAAGUGAAAAUCACAUCUCGAUCUGAGACAAUCGAGAUCGGUACUCCAUGUCGCGAUACCACCUCCCUCACGUACAACUCUACCAGCCUCUCCGCAAAAGAGCCAUCACUGAUGGCAAAGAAGUGAGCGCUCUUCGUCAACCUGUCCACAAUCACCGAAAUUGCAUCGACACCCCUAGCAGUCCUCGGCAAUUUGGUGAUAAAAUCCAUGGUAAUUUGUUCCCACUUCCACUCGAGAAUCUCUAACAGCUGCAACUUACCAUGCGGACGCUAGUGCUCGGUCUUAACCUUGCGACAGGUCAAGCACCUCUCUACGAACCAUGCGACAUCCCUCUUCAUACAAGGCCACCAAUACUCCAUCUUCAGGUCCAAAUACAUCUUAGUGGCCUCGAUCACUCGCUCCCUUUUGUGGUUCUCCGGUUUCACGGCCUUCGCCUGCGCCCCUCGAAUGACAUCCCACACCAAAGUUAUCACUGUCAAUCUCAUGCAAACAUUUCGCAUCGGGGCGCCAUCCGCCCUACGGCUCAGGGCAUCGGCUACAACAUUAGCCUUGCUCGGGUGGUAUAGGAUCUCGAUGUCAUAAUCCUUUACCACAUCCAACCAUCUCCUCUGGCCCAUAUUUGGGUUGGGCUGGUCCAUCAGAUACUUCAAGCUCUUGCGGUCCAUGUAUAUGGUACACCGAACCCCAUACAAAUAGUGACGCCAGAUCUUGAGGGCGAACACCAUUGCCCCCAACUCCAUAUCGUGGGUGGGAUACCUCGACAAAUGAGGUUUCAGCUGCCUCGAUGCAUAUGCUAACACAUGCCCCCUCUGCAUAAGCACCGCUCCUAACCCUGAUAUCGAUGCAUCACAGUACACCACAAAAUCCUCCAUCCCUUUCGGGAGUGCGAGUACCGGAGCCUCGCACAAUUUCUGACGAGAUGUCUCAAAUGAGGUAUGCUGCUCUGGACCCCAUGAGAAAACAACACCCUUCCGGGUCAACUUGGUGAGUGGCACGACGAUCUUAGAGAAAUCCCUGAUAAAUCUCUAAUAAUAGCCAACCAACCCUAGGAAACUCCUGAUCUCGGUAGUUGACCUCGACACCUCCCAACUCAUCACCGCCUCGAUCUUGGCCAGAUCGACCAAUAUCCCCUUCUGGUUAAUGAGGUGCCCUAGGAAAUGGACCUCCCAUAACCAAAAAUCACACUUGGAGAAUUUGGCGUAAAGCCUCUCCGAUCUCGGAACGCCGAGGAUCUCCCUCAAAUGCUCUUCAUGCUGCUCUCUGGAUCUCGAAUACACCAAGAUAUCAUCGAUGAAUACGAUCACCGAACAAUCCAACAUCCGCCUGCACACCCUGUUCAUGAGAUCCAUGAAUGCUGCUGGUGCAUUGGUGAGCCCGAAAGGCAUCACCACGAACUCGUAAUGCCCGUAACGAGUCCUGAAUGCUGUCUUCUGGAUAUCUACAUCCCGAACCCUCAUCUGGUGAUGUCCCGAUCUCAAGUCUAUCUUGGAGAACCAAGACGCUCCCAGCAACUGAUUCAACAAAUCGUCGAUCCUCGGUAACGGAUAACGGUUCUUGACCGUCAACUUGUUCAACUCCCGGUAAUCAAUGCACAUCCGGUGUGAACCAUCCUUCUUCUUCUUGACAAAAAGGAUCGGCGCUCCCCAAGGUGAGCUACUCGGUCUGAUAAACCCCUUCCCCAGCAACUCCUGAAGCUGCGAGGAUAACUCCUGCAUCUCGGGCGGCGCAAGGCGAUAGGGUGCCUUGGCAAUAGGUGCCGCCCCCGGUACCAANGUCGAUACGAAACUCCACCUGCCUCUCGGGAGGCACACCCGACAACUCCUCGGGGAAAACAUCAAGGAACUCCCGCACAAUCGGUACCUCAUUAAUCGAACUUGGCCUCCCAGCGGCCACUUGCAUGUCCAUCACAUAGGCCACAAAACCCCUACAACUCUGCUGUAAACUCUGCGUCACCCUAGCAGCCGAACAAAAUGUUGACUCAGGACGGGUACCCUCACUAUACACUGUAAGUACUCCUUCACUAGGGUCUCCAAUCGUCACCAACUGAUGCUCGCAGUCUAUAAUAGCUCCAAAUUGGAUCAACCAAUCCAUGUCCACUAUGACACAUACGUCCCCCAUCGCAAUCGGGACUAGAUCGAUCAAGAACCCUACACCGAAGAUCUCAAGUCUACAUCCUCGAAUCACCUCCGUGGCAUACACUGCUCGCUCGUUAGCUAUAAAGCUCGCAGAGGUCGACUCAAAGCCUCUCGACAAAUACUGAUAUGACGACUAAAAGCUAAUGACACAAAAGAUUGACUUGCUCCCGAGUCAAAUAGCACUAAGGUAGGUACAGAAUUCACAAGAAAGGUACCUAUGCAUAACAUAAUAUAAGCAUAAUAUCUCAGACUCAAAUAAAUAGAGAAAAGAAUACGUACUGACCACAACGUCGGGUGCUGCGCGGACCUCCUCCGCUGUCAACAGGAAGGCUCUCCCACGAGCCUUUGGCACCUUGACCUUUGUUGGCCGAACCUUGGUAGCCCUAGCAGCAAGCGCAUAUCCCUAAUGUAGCUGAGGGCACUCGGCCUUCCGAUGGCUAGUCUGGUUGCAAUGAAAGCAAACCAUAAAUACCUUGGGGCAAUCCUUGGCGAUAUGCCCCUGCUUGCCACAUUUGUAGCAAGCACCCAAUCAACAGACCACCUAAUUUCCCUUGCCGCACUUCCCACAAGUGUGGCCCUUCUGGCCUCCAGUCCUCGAAUCAGCGGACUUGGUCCGCUUGGCUGCCGGCUGAGACUGAGUCGGCCACCGAUCCAUCUCCAGGACUCGGCCUCCUUCCUGGCCUGAGUCUCCAACUCAAUCUCCCUCUUCCGGGCAUUUGCCUGGAGCUCAGCAAAUGUCCGGUACAUCAAGUUCGACACGAACUCCCGAAUGUCUCUCCUCAGAACGCCCAAAUACCGGCUCAUACGUGCCUGCUCAGAAGACACUUGCUCAGGGCAAAACAUCGCCCUCUCAUGAAACUUCCUCAUAAUCAUAGUGACUGAAUCAGUACCCUGCUUGAGGGUCAAGAACUCCUGAACCAAUUGUUCCCUCUCCACUGGGGGAACCUACUCAUCUCUAAACAUGGUGGUGAACCUAUCCUAGGUCACCUCUGAAAUCUCAGCAACUAUAAAGCUUGCCGUCACAAACUUCCACCAGUCCUUCGCUCCCAAGCGAAGCUGGUUCAACACGAACCGAACCCUCAGAUGCUCCAGACAUGAACACAUAUAGAUGCAUCCCUCAAUAUCAGCAAUCCAUUUCAUCGUAGCAAUCGGAUCCUGCGUGCCAUCAAACUCAGGUGGCUUCGUGUUGCUGAACACCCGAAACAACAACGAGUCACCUCCCUGAGGCCUGGCAGCAGCCUAAGUCACCGCGGCGUACCGCUCAUCGAAAGUCUCAAUCAGUGUGGUCUUGAUAGACCCAAACAUCUCCGGAAUCUCAGCUCGAAUGGUCGUAACCACCUCCUCAUGAAUCAACCGAUGGAUCUCCUCGUCGCUGACACUGCUGCUCUCAGGUGUGUGCCGUGUACUAACCAUGGUGUCUCUGAAAUACAACAUAAAAUCAUCAGGGACUCGCUUGAGUGUACUUGAACUAGAUAACUCGACCAUACUUGUUCCUUAGUACACAAAGGAUUCUUACUUAGAGUGCACACUGCUCUGGUGUCUUCGGUAAUACGGGUGCUUAUACUACCGUCUACACCGCAUUUGUAUUCACCCUAAGUCCUCCUCCUUGGAUCCUAGAUCACAAGUACUCUAUAUCUCACUGGCAUAGGCUACCCUUUGAUAGACCUCUUAGCAGCCCCUCACUGCUACCUACUUGCUCUCAAGCAUCACAUAGCAGCACAAUCCUUCCUAGGCUAAGGCAUCACAAAAUCAGGCCACUCUAUUCCUAAUAUGAAUACCUAGCCAACUCUAGCAUGCAUAACAUAACAUAUCAUAUCUCAUAACACAUAACAUAUAGGUAUUUUGGGAAUUCACCAUUCGAGCACUGGCUGACCAUACACACUGCUCUGCUCUGCUUGUCUCAAAACUCUUUUACACAUUGAAAUUGUGUUAUUAUUAAAAAUAUUUUCCUCAAAUCCUCAGUUUGAGUUUAGAUACGCCCGAAGGUGCAUCCGAAUCCCACAAACCAAGGCUCUAAUACCAACUUGUAACGAUGUAAAUUUUCAAAACAAAAUUUUCAUUUUUCAACAACCAAAUUCAUAUAUAAAAUAUUCUCAAAAAGUAUUCCACAAUAGUUAUUAAAUCAAAACAUAUCCCAAGAUCUCAAAUCAAAUCUCCUCUCAGUCUGUACGGGUCACGCCGGUGCCUUCCCACGGUCCCGACUAGUAUCUGAAACACAUAACACAAUAACUGUAAGCAUAAAUGCUUAGUGAGUUCCCCAAAAUACCCCUUAGACACAUAUGCCUUUCCAGGCCAUACUCUACACGACCUUCCGGUCCAUGUGUCUCAUGGGACUUCCGUCCCAGUCCCAGUAGACCUUCCGGUCCUGCUCGUAUCGACCUUCCGGUCCAUGACUGCCUGACCUUCCGGUCCACCUCAUAAUGCCUUCCGGCCCAUAUCAUACAUAACAUACAUAUCACAUACAUAACACAUACAGAACAUGAAACACAUAGCAUACAAAACAUGCAUCUCAUACCAUACAAGACCUUCCGGUCACACAUAGGUACCUUUCCAGUUAUAGUAUAGUGAGAAGACUCACCUCGGGUAACUCGGUAACUCGGAAAUCUUGGACUCUGUGAGACAGGAUCUAGCCUCUGCCUAAUCAUAACAAACACUUCUCAUUAAUACAUUUCCCCAAGGCCAGAGUCUUUCCUUUCCUAUCAUUCUCAGAAGGGAAAAAGACCAUUUUACCCCUCUCAAGGCUCAAAUACCCUAAAGUUGACCAAACCCUAAAAGUCAACAAAACUCAACCUUUUGGGGUACGCGGCGCGUCCCAGAUCUGUACGCUGAGCGUACCCAGUGGCUUCACAGAAUCAGGGUACGCGGCCCCUUACGCCGCGCGUACUGGGAUUAUGCCCAACGUAACUCCCAACUUUCUCCUCCUUUUCAUUCAGUUCUAAAUCGUUUAAGACUUGCGUCGAAAAUCCAGAUUUGACUUCUCUAAUAUGAUUUAAUCCGUAAAGUUGAUGACUUUAAGCCUUUGCAUGGCUGUGGAAGUCACAAACACCCAAAACACUCCAUUUCCAACCUUAAAAGGUCCAUAUCUCAUGAAUGAACAACCUUUAACAACAAAGACUGGAUUUUUAUCACAUAAAAACACUAAAUGAACUAGUAUGGGACAGAUCUCGGCUUCUAAGAGCUCAACUACUUAAAAAGCUAUGAACUUGGGGACCAAAAACCCUAAAACUUCUCUCUACAAAUUAUUAACAGAAAAGAUGCAAAGGUUGAAGCUUUUUACCUAAAAAUGAAACUUCUUUCACUGCUAAACUCGGAUCCAAAAGCUUGAGCUCCAACUCUUCCUCUUCCAAGGCUAUCACUUUGCUCCAAAUGGCCAAGAACACAAUACUAAGCUCUCCUAGACACCCCCUUGCUAUAUGAGCGAGAUUUAGGGUUUUGAAAUGGUAAAACUCUGGAAAAGGUGGCCAACAAAAUGGCCUUAAGGUUGCUUAACUAGGGAGGCUCAACAUAUUAGGGUUUCUCUUCUCGGCCGGGUACGCCUCGCGUACACAUUGGUACGCCCCGCGUACCUGGCGACCCUUCCCGAUCAAGACGCUGACGGGUAUGCUGAGCGUACACCCCGGUACGUCCCGCGUACUCGCCAAACAUGCAUUUCCUUAACAAGGGCCAAAUGUGCCCCUUGCUCAAAGAUGAAGGUUCAUAAGGUAUACCUGAUUUUUGGGAUGUUACAGUAAUAUUUAAACGACAUUCGGACAAAAAACCUUACUCCAAACCCACAUCUAAACAAUGAAAAUGGAUUACGGCUGGUAGUGAGUCCUAAGUCCUUUAAACACUUCCUGUAUAACUAUAUCUAUAUAGACAUCAAUUUUACAACAUAAGUUAAAAGGUUUUAUAAAACAUUUAAAAGCAUUUUCUAAUAUUAAAGGAGUUAAAAACCAUUUAAAAGUAUUUUCCAAUAUUUAAAAGCAUUUUGAUGACUUGAUGUCAUUUACAACAUUUAAAGAGUAUUAUAUAUUAUAAACACAAUUUGUUGUGUUUAGACUUGUAUUCCCCCCUUAAAACAGUGAAAAGUGACAAAAUGUAGGGGUAUGAACUUACCUUAUGUUUGGUGAUCCAAAUGGUUCAAGUAAGGAUUGAGCAGUUCCACAAUUGAAGUCCCGAUAUACAAAUGAGUCCUAAUGACAUAUAUUGAUACAUAUAUGUGUAUAAUUAGUGUAUAAUACACCUAAUCAUGAAGGAAACAACCUAAGGGACUAAGGAUCUUGGACAUGAAGAGAUCAAUCACAUGUGAUUGAUAAAAGGGAAGUAUGUGGCCACACUUAAGUGUGGUUACGGCCAACACACAUGAGUUUACGGCCAAACAAGGAGUUUAUGGUCGUAAACUCAUGGACAUAAUGCUUAAGUGAGUGUUUUAUGGUCCUAGCAACAUCCAUUAAGAGUUUAAGGUCAAUGGCAUUUUUGUUGGAAGAGUUUAAGGCCCAAAAUGCAACAACCAUGGAGUUUACGGCGAAGGAUGUUCUUGGGCCGUAAACUCAAGAUCUUCUUUGGAAAUACAUGUUUCUAUGGAUGAAAUUCAAGGCUUCCUAGUAGAUAUGAAGUAUCUACUAGUAUGUGUUCUUGGUGUUUCUUGAAGAUCUAAACAAACAUGAUUUUCAUGGAUGAAAUCAAUGAUUGAAGCUAGUUAAUAAGGUGUAUCAACUAAUCAAGGGAUAGAAUACUUACACUUUUGAUGAUCUAAGGAUGGAAGAUUGGAUGAUAGUUGAGAGAGAAUGAGGGAAAAUCGACCAAGGAAGGAAAGAAAUGAUAAAAAUGGCCAGACUUGCAUAUAAGGGGUGAGUUUAUGGCCCACAUGGAUUUUAUGGCCGUAAACUCCAUUGUGGUGGUCGUGAACUCCUGAUUUUUGUGUUGGAGGCUCGAGUAUUGUUCCGUGGUUCUAGCUGGUACGUCUUAGCAUUCAUUUCUUGAAUGUAUUGGGUUCAGAACACUCAAAUAGGCACUAAACAAUGCCAAAUGUUAGCAGGAGUGAGCUGACUUAAGGUUGUUUGGACUGGAUUUUAAAGCAAAAAAUUUUCAGGUUGUCAUAACCCUGGGGAGCACCGAUCCUUUUUGUCAGGAAGAAGGACGGUUCGAACAGGAUGCGCAUUGGCUAUAGGGAGCUGAACAAGUUAACAAUGAAGAACCGUUAUCUGCUCCCAAGGAUAGACCAUCUUUUCGAUUAGUUGCUGGCUGCAUCUUGGUUUUCCAAGAUUGAUUUAAGAUCAGGAUACCACCAGGUCAGGGUGAGGGAGGAAGAUGUGGAGAAGACCGCGUUUCGGACUCGCUAUGGUCAUUACGAGUUCGUGGUGAUACCGUUUGGGCUCACCAAUGCGCCAGCAGUUUUCAUGGAUUUGAUGAAUCGAGUCUACAGACCGAUGCUUGAUCGCUCGGUCAUUGUGUUCAUAGAUGAUAUCUUGGUGUAUUCCAAGACCCGAGAGCAGCAUGAGGAGCAUCUCAAGGAGCUUCUGGAGGUGAUAGUCUAGGUUAACCUUUGUAACUCAUUUUGAAGAAAUGAAAAAGAAUUAUGUGAAUAUUAUGUGAAUUAUGUGUUUUAUGCUUAAUUAUUAGGGCUUAAUUAAUUAAGAAUAAAAAUAAAGCGUCAAAAUUAAAGUGUGACAUAAUCCCGAUAUAUUUUCAUAAGUUGUAGUGGUCGAAACAAGGAUUUUGGGGUUAUAAAGAAUACAAAAAUCCGAGUUAUAACGAAGAAGUUAUGACCUGUCGAAGUUUCGUGACAAAACCGGCACGACGCUGAAUGUCGUAAAAAGUGAGUUUUUGAUAAACUAAAUUUUAGCCUUAGUGAUCUAAACGAAACUUGUAGUGUUCGUUAAACCAAUAGUAGGUAUAAAAAGAACGUCCAAAUCUGACUUCGUAUGAGGAAGUUAUGAUUUUUCGAAGUUUCAGCUUACUAGUAGACAGCUAAAAACUCGAACUUUAGAUCGAGUGAUUUUUAGCCGACACGACCUAAAUGAGAAUCGAAGGUCUCGUAAAUAGUAGCACAACGGUAAAAAGUCUGACGAAAACGGACGUCGGAUGAAGAAGUUAUGAAUUUUUAAAGGAUUUCCUGUCAAGGUCUGUUAAAAAUAAUAAUAUUAAAAUAAAAUUCAAAAUUAGACGACAAAGUCUAAACGAAAGUUGAAGAGCGUAAUUUUACCUACGCGUGCAUAUAAAGAACGUCGAAAACGGAGGCGGUAUGCGAAAGUUAUGGAUUUUAGAAGAUUAGUGCUCAUUUUCCGAGGAAUCUCGCAUGGAUGAUCCUUAUCCGGAAGAGCCACGUCACCUCGCAUGAACAGUAGCCGCGUGUCGCGCAACUGUCGCCUUCUAAUUCGCCCGAGCAGUGGCCCAAUCCCCGUCCGACGUGCUGAUGUCUCCGUGUCCUUCCGAGCCAUGCUGGCCCCUCGCAUGCGAAGCCAUCCGGAGCCUCUCGCUGCUACCACGCGCCUUGCUCUUGUUGCUGCCACCGAGUUGCUUCGUUGCUGACUCACUUCCUUCUCGGCCGACCUUCAGACCCUAUAAAAGGGAGGCUGCGAGACUUCCCGGGUAGAAUCCGAAAUUUGCCACUUUUCACCCAUUUUCAUCCUUUUUAUCAUUUUGACUUCCCCCGAAGCUCCGGUAUCAUUUCUAAAGCCCGAAAUACGUUCCGAAGUUCCCGAAGACCCGGAAAAAUUUUUCUUUUCGGUUUUGAAGCCCGACCUUUCGUAGAGCCCGGUUUCUCAAUAAAACUCCCGGUUUUAUUAGAAACGAUCGUUUUAGGAAACGAAUUGCUGCCCGAUUUUCAUCAAAACAUGUGAGUGUGUACUUACUUUCAAUUUACACAUAGAUAUGAAGUAUUUACCAUAAAAUACGUGUUAUGUGCAAAUAUGUUUAAUUGUUUAUUUGAGGUGAUUGUUGAAUUGACGUUUUAUACAAGUUUUAAACUGUAUAUGUAUUUUAUCUACAAAUAUGUUGCGUAGAACAUGGGUAGACAAAAUAGUCGGUGGGUGUUAAAAUGAUGAGAGGCCUCGAUGUCAGUGUUGUUGUUGUUAUUGGUGACGUCGUCUAACGGAGUAUAGAUGACGACCACAAACCUUUCUAGACAGUCCAGUGGUACACUAGCAGGUUCGCAACUUGUAGGUGUUGAUGAACUAAAUGUUCAUUGGUGUACUCCAUCCCCUACAUGGUUUCCUUAAGGACAUUUAUUGUUGAGGAAUCCCCUUAGCAGUAGUGUCCAUCCCGAUGAUGAUCCUUAGGAUAGGUCCCUUAUGAUAGGUGUUUAGGGACGUAAUAUGAGGAUAACGGGAACGGGUAAUCGGGUUAUUGUUGGUUGAUGAAAUUAAUAAACUAUUUAUUGUGAGUUGAAAACUCUAUGUGCUCACCAGGCUCCCAAGCCUGACCCACUCAGUUUUAUGUAUUACAGGUAGUGGUGCUCGAGCAUAGUUGUGAUGUAUUGAGAUGAGGGAUUACGGAUAUAGAACUAUAGAUAUGAAAUAAUGUAGUAAGGCUUAUAUUGUAUUGUUUAUACUUAUGUACUGUAUCGAACAUGACAUCCCGAGUCUUUUAAUGAAAUACAUUUCUAAGGAAAUGCUUUUGAUAAAUCUUUAUCAUAUUAUUGUUUUAGGACAAACUCCGCAAGUCUUUUAUUAAAAGGUUACUAUGAUUAUGAAAUAAAGUAUAAACAAAACCGGUCUUUUCUGGCCGUGAAUUUGGGGAUGUCACAGAUUCAUUCGUGAUUUCGCCAAGAUUGUCGUACCCCUCACUCGUCUAAUGAGGAAGGGGGUGGAUUUCCGGUGGGGACCUGAGCAGCAGAGGGCAUUUGAGUCCCUUCGGCGAUGUUUAUGCGAGGCAUCGUGUUGACACUCCCCGAAGGAGUUGAGGAUUUUGUGUAUAUUGUGACGAGAUACCCUAUGCACGAUNCGAGCACUAGUUUAUUUUAGGAAAGGUGCCUAAAAUGCCUUUAUGUGCUAAAUGCUAUAUGUUGCCAUAUAUGCCAUUAUUUGUUCGGAUCUAUGGUCUACUGCCGACCGAAUCUUGAAACCUUAUAUGUAUAGGAUUCUAAGCGUAUGAUUACGAGAUUAGAACUAACAUGUAAAUGUUUCGGCGUGAUAAGGGAAUUGACAUGUCUAACAAGGAUAAAGACCUAAAUUCACCCUAUUCGGUAUAUAGAUUGUAAUGGAAAGAACUCGAAGUGGAGCGGGAAAUGCAAAUAGAAACCAACAACCUCAACCCCAAGUGGUGGAACAGGUGCCUAUAGUAGGAGCUGCACCAGAACCCAUCACCAUGGAUGGAGUACAAAAUAUGGUUCAGACCAUGUUGGCUGAUCAGAGGGAGGAGUUGAGGCAAAUGUUGUUGAACAACAGGGAUGAAUCUUCAGUUCCUAUUGAAGAACACGAACUGAAUGAUGAUCGAUCUGAAGAAGGGAACAACAGCAGAUCGGUUGGUUAUAGUGAACGACUUGUGGUUGGGAGGAAUAACCACGAGGGCGGAGUGGAUAGAAAUGGGUGCAAGUAUAAGGACUUUAUGAAUUGCAAGCCAUCGACCUUCACUGGAAAAGAAGAUCCUGUUGGAGUUAUGGACUGGAUCUCGGAAAUGGAGUUGGCUUUCAUGACUUGUGAUUGCCAAGGCAAGUUACAAACCACUUUUACAUUGUGUCAGUUCAGAGGUAGUCUUCCUCGUUGGUAGAACACAUUGGGGAAAACCCUAAGCCCUAAUGAGCCAUUGCAAAUGACUUGGGCAGAGUUCUUGGUGCACUUUCAGUGCAAGUACUGCUCGGCCCAAAAUGUACUUGAGUUAGAAAACCAAUUUCUAACGUUGCAAAAGGGGAGUAUGACCGUUCACGAGUAUACGAAUAGCUUCACAGACAAAAUGGAGUUUGCUUUGCGUAUUGUCCCAGAUGAGCUGGCGAAAAUUGACAGGUACACAAAGGGACUUCCAUGGAAGUAUGUGGUGCCAGUACGUCAGGCACUUUCUUUGGAGGCGGUUAUCUGGGCUGCCAAGUCUGUUGAAGAUAUGACAAGGGGAGAGCCGCCAUCAAGGUUGAAGUUGGCGAAAAGCGAAAGUUUGAAUGAAUAUCAGGUUCCAAUAAAAAAACAAAUUCUCAUAGUCUGGUUCGAGAAAAUUCGGAGGACUAGCUGAAGCCAAAUGGUGUGACAGGUGCAAGAAGAAACAUGUUGGGAAGUGCAGCGUGGAACUCACUUGUUACAAGUAUGGAAAACGAUGGCAUUAUGCCAAUAAUUGCACCUUCACUAAUAGCGUCUGUCAUGGGUGCCAUGAAGAAGGGCAUAUUUUGAGGGAUUGCCCAAAGAAGAAAGACGCAGCGAAACCCAAUCUUCCACCAAAGCUGAAGGCGAGAGCCUUUCAGAUGACACUCGAAGCUGCGAAAGAAGAAGUCGAUGUCGCUUCAGGUACCUUUCUCAUAAACUAAUUGCCUGCCCAAAUUUUGUUUGAUUCUAGAGCCAAUUACUCCUUUAUAUCGCAUGAAUUUGGUAGAAAACUAGCUUUGCCUGUUGAUAGACUAGUUAAUGCUUUAUUAGUCGAAAUUGCUAGUGGCAAGUUUGUACCUGUUAGCCAUCGUAUGAAAAACAUCAUCAUUGACUUGGAUGGAGAUAAGUUCCUUGAGGAAUUAUUGCCUAUCGAGUUAAAUGGUUUUGACAUAGUUUUAGGUAUGGAUUGGCUUAGCGCCAAUGAUGCCGAAAUAAUGUGUAGGAAGAAGAUAGUAAAAGUAAACCUGCCAGGGAAAGAGUCAUUUAUGGUGUACGGAGACAAACGCAAAGUAUACUAUGGAAUCAUUCCCUAAUGAAAGCCAUAAAGUGUUUGGCCAAGGGAUGUACAUCAUAUCUAGCGUUCGUGAUCGAUGCUAAGAAGGAGAAGAAGGAGGUGCAGGAUAUUCCGGUGAUGUGUGAUUAUCCAAAAGUCUUUCCCGAAGAUCUUCCCGGAUUACCCCCUGAUCGACAAGUAGAAUUUCGUAUCGACUUGUUACCAGGAACGAUGCCAAUAGCAAAAGCACCGUAUCGAUUAGCGCCAACCGAAAUGAAAGAACUUAUGAAACAACUUUAGGAGUUAUCGGACAAAGGUUUCAUUCGACCUAGUUCAUCACCCUGGGGAGCCCCUGUGUUAUUUGUAAUGAAGAAUGACGGUAGCAUGAGACUAUGCAUCGACUACAGAGCUGAAUAAAGCGACGAUAAAGAACAAGUACCCGUUGCCGAGGAUCGAUGACCUGUUCAAUCAGUUGCAAGGAUCGAACUAUUUUUCGAAGAUCGAUCUUAGGUCGGGGUACCAUCAACUAAAGGUGAGGGAGCAUGAUAUCGAGAAGACUGUGUUCAGAACAAGAUAUGGACACUAUGAAUUUGUGGUUAUGUCGUUCGGAUUAACCAAUGCCCCAGCAGCUUUCAUGGAUUUGAUGAGCAGGGUUUGUAAACCAUACCUUGAUAAAUCCAUGAUAGUAUUCAUAGAAGAUAUCUUGAUCUAUUCGAAAAGCAAGCAGGAGCAUGAGAAGCAUCUGUGUGAAGUGCUAGAAGUCCUGAAGAAGGAGAAGCUAUAUGCAAAAUUCUCCAAAUGUGAAUUUUGGAUUCAAGAAGUCCAAUUUUUAGGGCAUGUGGUUAACUAAGAUGGAAUAAUGGUUGACCCAACAAAGAUUGAAGCUGUGAUGAAGUGGGAACAACCAAAAAUUCCUACGGAGAUUAGACGCUUUUUAGGAUUAGCUGGAUAUUAUCGAAGAUUUAUCCAAGGCUUUUCUUCAAUCGCUACUCCAUUAACAGCUUUGACCCACAAAUGAGCUACUUAUGCUUGGAAAGAAAAGAAUAAGGAGGCCUUUGAAAAGUUAAAGAAGAGAAUGUGUAAAGCAUCGAUUCUUUCGUUACCUGAAGGAGUUGAUGACUUUGCAGUCUAUAGUGAUGCCUCUGGAGUUGGGUUAGGAUGUGUCCAGACCUAAAAGGAUAAAGUGAUAGUGUAUGCAUCGAGGCAGUUGAAAGAGCAUGAAAAGAACUACCCAACUCGUGAUCUAGAGUUGGCAGCGGUAGUAUUUGCCUUACAGAUAUGGAGGCAUUAUCUUUAUGGUACUAAGUGUAAACUUUUCACUGAUCAUAAGAGUCUUCAAUAUCUCUUUAAUCAGAAGGAAUUGAACAUGAGGCAACGGCACUGGCUGGAAUUACUCAAAGACUACGACUGUGAGAUACUUUACCACCCUAGUAAAGCAAAUGUUGUUGUUGAUGCUCUCAGUCGGAAGGUAAAUCCUGAAAAGAGAAGGCCAAGAGCGCUGAAGAUUGAAGUUGUCUCUACAAUUGUGGAAAGUAUAAUGAAAGCUCGGGAGGAAGAUUUGGAGAAAAAUGACUGGAAGGAGGAAAGUUUGGGUAAAACGUUGGUGUUUGAUACAAACGGUCAAGGAUUGUGUGACAACCCGAAGUUCAUUCCAUUUGUAACCCUUUUCGUUAAUACAUUCGUCGUUUUCAAUUUCGUUUUCGUUAACGUCAUUAAAUUAAGUCAUAAAUGUGGGAUUUCUAUUAUGACUUAAUGGUUGUCCUAACGCGUUUAGAACUCAUAUUAACAUCCCAUUCUAGUAAUAAGAAUAUUUUUAGAAUCGACCGUAUCGGGUUAUGACAACUUAAUCGGGUACGACCAAAAGCCACGUCUAACGUCAGUAUCGGGUAGAAUUCCAUCGUGUCCCGAACUUGGAACAUAUUUAAAGUGGAUUAAGCUUCCAUUUGAUGCUUUUGCACUCCCUCACUACUAUCUCUCUCUCUAACCUCUCUCCUCAAUCCAAACUUAAGGUCCAAAAUCAUCAAAUUAAAGCUCCAUUUCAUCAAGGUAACCUUCCUAACUUGUUGUACAACCUUUCUAGCUUCCAAAUUCAUGGCCAAACUAUGGAAUAGGACCAUUAUCAUGAGUUUACAGCCCUAGAACAGUCCUAGGCCGUGAACUCAUAUAAAAUGGGUUUUGGAGCCCAAAAACCCUUCCAAUCGACCUUUGGAACUUAGAUAUGGCUAGAUGACUUAAUGGAACGGACUUAGAGCGCCUUAAACUUAACUUUUGGGGAGUAAGCUUGAGUUUACUGCCCAAGAACAUGCUUGGGCCGUAAACUCAUCUUCAUUGGGAGCAAUAGCUUGGGAUUAAAUUCUAGAACCAACCACAAUGGAGUUAGGGGCCUUAAACAUGAUGAAAACCCUCCCUAUAGGAGUUCACAGCCAUAAACCCUCCAAGAAUGGGUUCCUGGGCCGUAAACUCAUAUACACUAGUCAAAUGAUGCCCUAAAUCAAUUUUAAUGCAUGUAAAAUUUGUUUAAAUCACAUAUGAUUGUUCUAAGGCCACCAAAUCAUUAACAUAAGAAAGGUAUAGGAGCUUACGGUCGUAAACUCCUAGUUUAGGGCCGUAAACUCCCUUUGAUGGUUCCUUUGGUGAUUUAACGCAUUCCUAUGCCUUAGAUUAAAUCAUAGCAACCUUCCCCAAGUGUUAUUUGACCAUUUAGCUUCAUAAAACCCUGAACUCAUGAGGAGUUGGUCUAGGGGCCCAAAACUCCAUGAGGAGUUUACUCUUGAAGAGUAAACACAUUAUCCAAAGUCCCAUACGUCCGUAGAUGUCACUCGGGUCACUCCAAACACUUGAUUUGAAGUGUUUUCGCGUCUUGAAGUGUAUAACCAUAUCUAAUUAGAUACCUUUGUAUAUCAUUUCAUAUUACAUAGGAACCUCACGCGUUAUCAAGCCCCGAACCGACACUUAGCAUACAAACCGUUACGUUUUCUCGCCUGGUGAGUUCAUACCCCUACCGUUUUUCAAUGUUUUUCACUGUUUUCAGGGGGAGAAUACAAGCGAAUUACAAGGAACACUUGUACUCAAAAACUUGUUUUACAUCUGUUGUGUUUCAUAUUUCAUAUGCUUUUAACGUUGACAAUCAUAACAGAUAACCGUUUGAACUUGCAGAACACAUUACCAUAUUUUUUGUGAAAAACGUUAUAAAAUGUUACAUUUUAUAUUUUUACAAAUCGUUUUCCACAUUAUAUCAGUUAAAAGCAUAACAUUUGAUCUUUGAACAUGAAACUUAGUACACUGUUUUGUCCUCGGUAAGACUCCACAUGAACACGCGAGUGGAGGAUCAUGGUUUGUGACAGUAUCUUUCUAUAUUAUUACUAGUAAAUUUGUUAUUCCUAUAAAUUGGAGACACGUCCUCGGAGAACACUCCACAGAGAUACGCGAGUGGAGGACCGCACCUGUAACCAGAAUCUCUUAGAUAGGGAGCGUGACUUGAGUGUACAGAUCUAUACAGAGUUGACUACCCUGCACCUGGCUGCUAGCUACAGCCGAACCGAAAGGUUCAAGGGUGACGAAAGUCAAAAAGGGAUUUGGACGACUUAUUGCCUUAUCUAGUCUAUCGUAUGGUUAUGGAACUCGCAAUUUGAAUAACAGAGAUUUACUUGAUAGUAAUAAUGAUUAAAGUAACUAGUUUACUUGUACAUAUUAGUUUUAUAUAUACGUGUUAAAAUUAAUACACUUUACAAGGAUAACCAGGUUUUCGGUAUACAUCUUUCACAUUACAGAUUGUUAACCAACUUUCAAGAAAAUAUGGGAUUUUUCUGGGGUAACAUUUUUACAUAACCAGAUUUGUGUAACAAGCCAAAUAGCUAAAUCUUACUAUUCACAAGAGUAACCAUAUUUUCAGUGUACAUCUUUUACAUUACACUUCGGAUUAAUAACUAACUUUUAAGAAAAUAUGGGAUUUUCUUGGUGUAUAACUUUUUCAGAAAAUAGAAAGGAAACAAAUACAUUUUCAGAAAACAAAACCGCUUAUGAACUCAUCAGCUUUAUGCUAAUUUUUAAAAUGCUUGUAUUCUCAGGUCAAUAUUAGACAGGUACCCGAGGAUCCUUUUGACGAAGACGAAGUGCGUAGAAGACACGUCUUACUUUUUUCUAUAUAUAUAUAUAUAUAUACAUAUGUAUCACACUUGUAAUACUUUUUACUUUAAAACAAAUGUAAAUUCUAUUAUGUAAUGUAAUGUUUGUUUACCUUGCUUACUAUGUACAUUGGAUUUGAUACUCAACGUGGAGUCCACCCCAGAAACGUUUCCGCCUUGGGUUUCGGGGUGUGACAUAUUGAAGGUAUUCAAAGAUAGGAUUUGGGUACCUAAUACGGGAGGAGUAAGAGGUCUUCUGAUGGAAGAAGCUCACAAAACCAUGUACUUGAUUCAUCCCGGCAGUACGAAAAUGUAUAGGGAUCUAAAACCCUAUUACUGGUGGCCGACAAUGAAGCUCGAUGUUGCUAAGUAUGCGGUGGAGUGUGUAACUUGUGCUAGUGUUAAGGCACAACAUCAGAAAUCGUAUGGGAGUUUAGAACCUUUACCUAUACCCAUGGGUAAAUGGGAGGACAUUACCAUGGAUUUUGUGACUAAACUGCCCAAGACAAGGAACGGUCACGACAUGAUCGGGAUGGUCGUUGAUCGCUUCACUAAGAGUGCACAUUUCAUAGCCGCUAACGAGAAAUGGUCUAUGGAUAAACUUGUGAAUUCUUAUGUGAAGGAAAUUUUGAGGCUACAUGGUGUUCCGCUAACGAUUGUAUCCGAUCGUGACAGCCGUUUUAACUCAAGGUUUUGGAGGAGUCUACAAGAGGAAUUGGGUACUAAGUUGUGUUUGAGUACAGCUUACCAUCCGCAAACCGAUGGUCAGAGCGAACGAACGAUUCAAACAUUGGAGGAUAUGCUGAGAACAUGUACCCUAGAAUUCCAAGGUAACUGGGAUGAACACUUACCUCUAGUAGAAUUCUCCUAUAAUAAUAGUUUCCACUCAAGCAUUAAGACGGCACCUUAUCACGCUUUGUAUGGGGAAAAGUGUCGAACGCCAUCAUGUUAGCUGGAAGUUGGGGAAAAGCAGUUUAUGGGACCUGAAAUAAUCCAUGAGACUGCUGAAAAGUUGAAAGUGAUAAGGGAAAGGAUGUUAGCUGCUCAAGAUCGACAAAAGAGUUAUGCUGACAAGAAAAGGCAACCGAUAACCUCUGAAGUUGGAUAUUCGGUUUUACUUAAAGUCUUGCCGUGGAAGGGACUUAUAAGAUUUGGGAAACGAGGAAAGUUGAGUCUAAGGUUUAUUGGACCGCUCAAAGUUCUUCAGAAGAUCGGGAAUCAAGCUUACAAGCUAGAGUUACCGGAGAACUGGAGGGUAUUCACAACACCUUUAAUGUGUGUUAUUUGAGAAAGUUCACGGGAGAUGUGCCCGACUUAAUUCCGAUUCCUGAGUUAAGGUUGGAUGAAAAUAAGAAGUUGAUCGAAGAACCCGAGGCAAUCGUUGACCGUAAGACUAUGAAGUUGCGACGCAAGAUGGUCAAUUUAGUGCUUGUGCGUUGGAAACAUACGAAUGGACGAAAUCUCACUUGGGAAACGAAGAGUGACAUGAUGAGUCGUUACCUGCAGUUGUUUGGUGAUAUGUGAUUCUGGGGACGGAAUCAUCCUAAGGGGGAGAGAAUUGUAACACUCGUGUUUCUAGCCUAGGCAUUUAUACUGAGGUGAUAGUCUAGGUUAACCUUUGUAACUCAUUUUGAAGAAAUGAAAAAGAAUUAUGUGAAUAUUAUGUGAAUUAUGUGUUUUAUGCUUAAUUAUUAGGGCUUAAUUAAUUAAGAAUAAAAAUAAAGCAUCAAAAUUAAAGUGUGAGAUAAGCCCGAUAUCUUUACAUAAAGUUGUAGCGGACGAAACAAGGAUUUUGGGGAUAUAAAGAAUACCAAAAUCCGAGUUAUAACGAAGAAGUUAUGACUUGUCGAAGUUUCGCGACAAAACCGGCACGACAUUGAAUGUUGUAAAAAGUGAGUUUUUGAUAAACUACUUUUUAGCCCUACUGAUGUAAAAAAACUUGUAGUGUUCGUUAAAGCGAUAGUAGGUAUAAAAAGAACGUCCAAAUCUGACUUCGUAUGAAGAAGUUAUGAUUUUUCUAAGUUUCAGCUUUGCAGUAGAUAGCUAAAAACUCGAAUUUUAGAUCGAGUGAUCUUUAGCCGACACAACCUAAACAAGAAUCGAAGGUCUCGUAAAUAGUAGCACAACGGUAAAAAGUCUGAUGAAAACGGACGUCGGAUGAAAAAGUUAUGAUUUUUUAACGGAUCUCCUGUCCCGGUCUGUUAAAAAUAAUAAUAUUAAAAUAAAAUUCAAAAUUAGACGACGAAGUCUAAACGAAAGUUGUAGAGCAUAAUUUUACCUACGCGUGCAUAUAAAGAACGUCGAAAAAGUUAUGAUUUUUUAACACGUAUUUUAGAAGAUUAGGGCUCAUUUUCCGAGGAAUCUCGCAUGGAUAAGCCUUAUCCGGAAGAGCCACGUCACCUCGCAUGAACAGUUGUCGCGUUUCUCGCACCAGUCGCCUUUUGAUUCGUCCGAGCAGCGGCCCAAUCCCCAUCCGAUGUGCGGUUGUCUCCGUGUCCUUCCGAGCCUUGCUGACCCCUCACAUGCGAAACCACCCGUAGCCGCUCGCUGCUGCCACCGAGCUGCUUCGUUGCUGACUCACUUCCUUCUCGGCCGACCUUCGGACCCUAUAAAAGGGAGGCUGCGAGACUUCCAGGGUAGAAUCCGAAAUUUGCCACUUUUCACCCAUUUUUCAUCCUCUUUAUCAUUUUGACUUCCCCCGAAGCCCCGGUAUCAUUUCUAAAGCCAGAAAUACGUUCCGAAGUUCCCGAAGACCCGGAAAAAUUUAUCUUUUCGGUUUUGAAGCCCGACCUGUCGCAGAGCCCGAUUUCUCAAUAAAACUCCCGGUUUUAUUAGAAACGAUCGUUUUAGGAAACGAAUUGCUGCCCGAUUUUCAUCAAAACAUGUGAGUGUGUACUUACUUUCAAUUUACACAUAGAUAUGAAGUAUUUACCAUAAAAUACGUGUUAUGUGUAAAUAUGUUUAAUUGUUUAUUUGAGGUGACUGUUGAAUUGAUGUUUUAUACAAGUUUUAAACUGUAUAUGUAUUUUAUCUACAAAUAUGUUAGGUAGAACAUGGGUAGACAAAAUAGUCGGUGGGUGUUAAAAUGAUGAGAGGCCUCGGUGUCAGUGUUGUUGUUGUUAUUGAUGAAGUCGUCUAACGGAGUAUAGAUGACGACCACAGACCUUUCUAGACCGUCUAGUGGUACACUAGCAGGUUCACAACUUGUAGGUGUUGAUGAACUAAAUGUUCAUUGGUGUACUCCAUCCCCCACAUGGUUUCCUUAGGGACAUUUAUUGCUGAGGAAUUCCCUUAGCAGUAGUGUCCAUCCCGAUGAUGAUCCUUAGGAUAGUUCCCUUGUGAUAGGUGUUUAGGGACGUAGUGUGAGGAUAACGGGAACGGGUAAUCGGGUUAUUGUUGGUUAGUGAAAUUAAUAAACUAUUUAUUGUGAGUUGAAAACUCUAUGUGCUCACCAGGCUCCCAAGCCUGACCCACUCAGUUUUAUGUAUUAUAGGUAGUGGUGCUCGAGCAUAGUUGUGAUGUAUUGAGAUGAGGGAUUAAGGAUAUAGGCAUGUAGAUAUGAAAUAAUGUAGUAAGGCUUAUAUUCUAUUGUUUAUACAUAUGUACUGUAUCGAACAUGACAUCCCGAGUCUUUUAAUGAAAUACAUUUCUAAGGAAAUGCUUUUGAUAAAUCUUUAUCAUAUUAUUGUUUUGGGACAAACUCCGCAACUCUUUUAUUAAAAGGUUACUCUGAUUAUGAAAUAAAGUAUAAACAAAACCGGUCUUUUCUGGCCGUGAAUUUGGGGAUGUCACAGAUUCAUUCGUGAUUUCGCCAAGAUUGUCGUACCCCUCACUCGUCUAAUGAGGAAGGGGGUGGAUUUCCGGUGGGGACCUGAGCAGCAGAGGGCAUUUGAGUCCCUUCGGCGAUGUUUAUGCGAGGCAUCGUGUUGACACUCCCCGAAGGAGUUGAGGAUUUUGUGUAUAUUGUGACGAGAUACCCUAUGCACGAUCUUGAAGGCGUGUGGUAGCCUAUGCAUCACGGCAGCUGAAGCCGCAUUAGACGAGAUACCCUACACAUGAUCUUGAGUUGGGUGCAGUGGUUUUCGCUCUCAAGAUUUGGAGGCAUUAUCUGUAUGGGGUUCGAUGUACUAUAUAUACGGAUCACAAGAGUUUGAGGCACAUCAUGGGUCAGCUGUACCUAAAAAUGAGGCAGCACAGGUGGCUGGAUGUGGUCAAGGACUAUGAUUUUGAGAUCCUUUACCAUCCGAGUAAAACAAAUGUGGUUGCAGAUGCUUUAAGCCGCAAGUCAGCUGGGUCCUCUACCCCAACCAGGUGUAUGAGGAUAGCGGUGAAUUCCCCGCUGGUGGUUUUGGUCAUGGAUGUCACACCCCAAAAUCGAGAAUGGCGGAAACGUUCUAGGGCGGAGGACGUCAUGUAAUGUAUCAUAACAAUGCAAGGUAGUAAACAAUCAACAACAUCAUCCGUUGCAUUAAUAGUAUAUUUUUAGUUACAAGUGUUCUUUCAUAAUAUAAGACAACAUAAUGAACAAUCAAAAUAAAAUAGGAGUCUUGAUUUCUCCCUCUUCACAAAACCUGGUCGUCGUACAUGUCUAUUUGUGACCUGAGAGUACAAGUUAUUUUGAAAGCGAGUAUCAACCAAAAAGCUGGUGAAUUCAUAAGUAUUAAUGUGUCUUUGAUUUGUAAAACUAUAAAGUAAUGACUUGUAAACCUUUGGAAAAAGAUUGUAUAAGUAUGAACUGUUUGAAAGCAGUUGAAAGCGUUUAAAUACCCUAGCAAAUCCCUAUGAUUUCUAUUAGUAUAAAGACUAGCCUUCUACCAAGACCCGAAUGUUUUGAAAGUAGUCUUCUACUAAGACUUGUAUGUUUUGAAAGUAGUCUUCUACGAAGACUCAAAUAUAUGGAAAGUAGUCUUCUACCAAGACUUGUAUGUUUUGAAAGUAGUCUUCUACUGGUUGCCUUGGGGAUGGUGUUCAGCCAUGUUAUCUAUGCGAGAAUUGGGGUAAGGAAAUAAUUAUUAGACAAACUAUCUAGAUAAUUAUUAGAAAAUCUUCAUUAGAUACAUCGCUAUUUUUAAAGUGCAUACCAGUCAUAUGUAAUUACAACAGGAUAGGACUUCGAAUAAGUGACCUUAACUCCAAAUUCACAAAGGAUAGGGGUAAAGCAAAAUCUUCACAAAUUCUAAGUCUAUAACAUCCUAGUUACAUAUAGCCUCAGUGUAUCCACUUAGCAACUAUCAACUUAGUAAUGAAGAUUCUUUUUAGUUCUCAAAUACCCCUAUAGUAUUUUAGGUUUAUGUUCUAUUGUUCUCAUUAUGGUAUUGUUGAUAGGAUUUUAGACUUGUUACAACCACACAACUAUACUUAGGCACAUGCUAUUCAACCCUCGGAUAAUAUAGUUGAUCAGGCUAUAUCUUCCCAGUUUUGACUAUAUGUCUCUAAGUCCACUUUUGUUGCCCAACAAUUGUAAUUCUUUUGUACUGUCCUAGUGACACUGAUUUUUGUAUGAAUGCAGGCAUGUAUACUUAAUCAAAUAUUGUAAUAUUUUGAAGUAUAAACUCUUGGUCAGAGUAUUUUUAAUCCCUAUAUAUUUAUAGUUAGUAUAUCUUUUAUGGGUUGAUAUACUCAAUUCACCAUAAACAAUUCUCUGAUACCAAUUGGUCACACCGCAAAAUCGAGAAUGGCGGAAACGUUCUGGGGCGAAGGACGUCGUGUGAUGUAUCAUAACAAUGCAAGGUAGUAAACAAGCAACAACAUCAUCCGUUGCAUUAAUAGUAUAUUUUUAGUUACAAGUGUUCUUUUAUAAUAUAAGACAACAUAAUGAACAAUCAAAAUAAAAUAGGAGUCUUGAUUUCUCCGUCUUCACAAAACCUGGUUGUCGUACCUGUCUAUUUGUGACCUGAGAGUACAAGUUAUUUUCAAAGCGAGUAUCAGCCAAAAAGGUGGUGAAUUCAUAAGUAUUAAUGUGUCUUUGAUUUGUAAAACUGUAAAGUAAUGACUUGUAAACCUUUGGAAAAAGAUUAUAUAAGUAUGAACUGUUUGAAAGCAGUUGAAAGCAUUUAAAUACCCUAGCAAAUCCCUAUGAUUACUAUUAGUAUAAAGAGUAGCCUUCUACCAAGACUUGUAUGUUUUGAAAGUAGUCUUCUACCAAGACUCAAAUGUAUGGAAAGUAAUCUUCUACCAAGACUUCUAUGUUUUGAAAGUUGUCUUCUACCAAGACUCAAAUGUAUGGAAAGUAGUCUUCUACCAAGACAUCUAUGUUUCGAAAGUAGUCUUCUACCAAGACUCAAAUGUAUGGACAGUAAUCUUCUACUAAGACUUGUAUGUUUUGAAAGUAGUCUUCUACCAAGACUCAAAUGUAUUGAAGGUAGUCUUCUACCAAGACUCAAAUGUUUUGCUAUAACAAAGAUGGUUUUCUCCUCUAUAACUACUAUUAACAAUAUAAAGUCUACCUCGUCGUUUAUGUGAAUGGUUCACAAAAUAAAAGUAAUACGAAAAAUAUAGCCACGUAAGUGUUAUCCUUUUGUAUUAGGAUCAACUCGACAUCAAGACUGUCGAAAUCAAUAACCUUGAACAUCCGUAGAUUGUUCAUUUUCCUCUGUAGCUGGCAGCAGGUUUAAGGAAUGGUUAGUCCCAUAAUGGUACUCCUAAUGUAAGUAUUAACCGUAGGCAUCCGUAGAUGUUCAUUUACCUCUGUAGCGAACAGCAGGUUAAAGGAAUGGUUAGUCCCGUAAAGGUACCCCUAAUAUAAGUAGUAACCGUCGGCAUCCGUAGAUGUUCAUUACCGCUGUUGCUAACAGGUGGGUUCCGGAAUGGUUAGUCUCGUCUAGUUAUCCUAUUGAACUAGGAUAGGCAAAAAUAAUUUACACGUAUAAUAUGUACUAGUAACUCAUCAUAUAGAAUCUAGGUACAAGUAUCCAUGUAAGAGUAUAUGAACGUAUACCUUUGCUACCCAAAGGUACUGAACUGACUGAUUAGAACUAUUAUGUCUAUAUAUGUACACAAAAUAUAUAAAUGAUAUUUAAACGGCCUUCAGACGGAUACCCGAUACCCUACCAGACCACAUCCCAAUGGGGAAAAGGAAAUAAAGCGGGUUAGCCUUCCUAAGUCCUUUAAACAUUAUUUAUAUAACUAUACAUAUACAGACAUGCUUUUAACAAGGUAUCUAAAUAAAAGUAUCAUGGAAGUGUAUCCAAGUAAGUGUAUUUCUACAAGCAACAUGUAUUCGUAUGGACUCAUGAAUGAACUGACUCUGGUGUAAUUCCUUGUAAUAGGAAUAGCAAGUAGUAUCUCCUAACUAUGCCUAUAAUAGUUACUAGAAAUGUACAAGUAUCAACGAAGGUAUACCUAUACAUAUACAGGCAUGCAUUUGAUAAUAUAAAAGCACAGAAGAAUUUUUGUAAAACCUUUGAGAGUAUUUUGAUAAGACAGUUUAAGUGUAAAGGAACCAUUGUUUGAAAACACAUUUGUAGCUGAGUUUAAAAUGAAACUUACAGAAUGUAAGACAGUUUGAUAAAUAGUUUUAAACAUGUAAAAAUGUUUAAGAAAGUCAUUUGAAGAUAUCUGUUUGGUAAAACAGCUAACGUAUAGUAAAUCCAUUUGCAUGUUAGUUAUUAAUCACAUGUGAAUGAUAUAAUUACUAGCAUCUUUCAACUUGUAUUAGCCCCCCUCCCCAUAAAGCAUUUAAAAACAUUUAGAAACAUUUAAAAGGUUAAUUUUAAGGGGUAUGAACUCACUUGCAGUGAGUGGAUUGGAUUGAAGUGUCGGAUACGGCGCUAGGUGACAAACGGAGACUUGUACACACAAGCGAGCCUAGUUAUCAUAUAAUAAACAUAUAUCUAACUAACUAGUCAAUUUAUAACUAAUAAAAUAUGUUGGGACACUCUAGAACAUGAAAACACUUUGUUUCAAGUGUUUAAAGAUCACAAAGGUUGCAUCCAAGUGUUGUAGGGUAUGGCUAAUGGGUGCAGGGUUCAUAGAAAACUCCCUAAGGGAGUUCAUGGCCCUAAGUUCCUCAACAAAUGAGUUUACAGUCGUAAACUCAUGGGUUUACGGCCGUAAGCUCAUAAUUCCAUGACCAUUUGAUGUUUUGAGGCUUUACAAGUCCCUAAGAAGCAUUUCUACCUGAUGGCUUAGUCCUUGGAAGAGGUUAGGGCGCCUUUCAACUCCUUUGAGGAGUUCACGGCCCUAGAACCAAAUCCCUUAGAGGUUACAGCCGUAAUCUCUCAUGUGUAUGGCGUUUUUGGUGUUUUCAAGUCCCUAACUUAACUAGGAACGAAGCUAGGCUAGUGUCCAAGGCUUAUGAAGAGUUAAAGCACACUUUGGCACUCUUGAUUGGGUUCACGGUCCAAGAACUUAUUGGGCCGUGAACACCUUACUCUUGAUAUUUUUGGGGUGUUUUCUUUUCCUACAUACAUUAGAGUACAAGUCUAGGCUCGUUUAAUUGCAAAAGGAAGGGACUAGGGCACUCAUUUGUCCCUUAAAAAAGGGUUUACGGUACAAGAUAUUCUUGGGCCGUAAACUCUUUGAUCUUGUUGUUUUGAUACGAUUUCUAGGUUAUUAGACACAUAUCAAGAACUAUAAUACACUUAGAUAUAAGUACUCACGAUUUGGGACGAAAGGCCGAAGAUCCGUGAGAGAGAAUUUGGCUUUUCUCUAGUUGGAAAUGGAACAAAUGAAUAAAUAUGGCUAAGGAACAUAUAUAUAACCCUAGGGUUUUGGACCACAAACUCUAUGUUUGGGUCAUAUAACUCCAAUUUCUUGAUUAUGAAAUGUCAUUGUUGCACAAUCACCCUAAUAGCAUCUGUUGGAUUAGUGUCUAAGUCCAAAACUAUUUUCGUAUGUACUUGACCCGAUAGUGCAUGGUCCUUUUGGGUUGCGUUCACCAAAGCAACUUGAUAGGAUGAAUUAUGGAGAGAAAUGAUUAAAUAUUGUUUAUUAAUAUAUUAUGGGAAUAAUAUAUUAAAGGAGAAAUCAUAUUGUUUAAUUAAUAUUAGUCAAGAAUUAAUAAGAAUUAAGUUUGUGACUAAAAGAGAUUAAUUAAACUUAAGGGACUGGAAUUGUAAUUAUAAGAUAAUUGCAAUUUGGGCCAUGGAUUGCCUUAUAUUAAGGAGUAGACGAAUUCUAUGGGAAAUCCCAUGAGGAAAUCGUCCAAGAUCUUAAGGAAAGGAAUCUAUGGGUUGCUUAGGGCUUAAGCAUCCAAUUUAGGGUUUCCUUGUUAGAUAACCCUAAUUGCCUCAUAUAUAUAUAUACCUUAAGGACCAAAAACAUGGCUAAGCUUCUUGCUAGGGUUUCACACGUUUUUGGGCAGCCUCCAUCCUCUCUCCUCUUCAUCCUCUUGCUUAUGGUGUUUGUGAGCCAUUAGAGGAGUGACACUUGUGACUCUAAGCCUUCCAAAGUCAAUUCAAGGAGGAAUUGGGAUUGUUAUUGCUACAUAACAAUCAAGGUAAUAUCUUAAACCUAAUUAUAUGUUAAUAUUGAUUUCCAUAUGCUAGAAUUAGGGUUUAUAGUCUUGGAUUCAAAGCAUGUACAAUAGAGAAACCUAGAUCCAAGCAUUAGGGUUUGUAUGAGCACAUAGGAUGUCUUAUGACCAAAACCCAUCAGUGGUAUCAGAGCCUAGACUGGUUUCAAUUGUAUUGAUGCAUUACAUGUUCAAAAAAUUCGAUUUUUGAUGUUCUGGAGGCUGGACUCGCCGAGUCCAUAGCUGAACUCGCCGAGUCCAUGCAGACUCGACGAGUCCAAGCUUGACUCGACGAGUCAACUCGUCAGAUGGAGGAUAUUUCGCGAUUUCUUGCUGUUUUUGCUUAUGGAUAGUUACCUUAUCAUAUUAGAUCAAUAUUAAUCCGAUUUUAUGAUAUAUUUGACUAUAUUUUUGAUCUAAUUGAAGAUAUUUAUCAAUUAAUAAGAUAAUUGUUUCCUUAUGUGAUAAUUGAUUAAUUAUUUUGACUAAAUUGAUAAAUUGUUUUGCAAGAAAUCAUUAAAUAAAUCAAAUAUGGAUAAUUAUGUGAUUAAAUGUUAAUUUAGAUUAUUUGUUAUUUGAUCCUUGUUGUUAUGAAAAGUUUCAUAUUUUCCCCUUUAGGUUUUAUAGUUUAAAUUUGAACCCAAAAGUUUUGUUGUUUUGAAAUUUAAAUAGUUGAAACCCUAAUGUUUUGAAAAAGGUUUCAAAACUUGCCCUCAAGUUUUGGAAUUUAAAUUUUGAUUAAAUAGUUUAAUUUUGAUGUAUAUUUAAAUUCUAAACCCUAAUGUGUUGAAAUGUUUCAAAACUUGCCCUCAAGUUUUGGAAUUUAAAAGUUGAUUAAAAGUUUAAUUAGGAAUGUUAAAUUCUAAAACUCUAGUAUAGUUUUGAAAAAGUUCAAAUCACACCCUUAUGGUUUUAUUAAUUAAUUAAGGUGUAUAAUUAAAAGAGGUUUAAUAAAUCCAUAAAAGUUUAGGUUUACAAUUUAAUUGAAUUAAAAGUAUAAUUGUUAAAUUUGACCACCUAGUAUUUUAAAAGUGUAAAAUACACCCUAUACUAUAUAUAACAUUAAAAGUCUAACAUUAUAUAUAUGUAUGAGUAAAAGUCAGUCUUACCGUUAGUAGGCCUCAUUCACGAAGCUGGUCUAUAAGGGGUGUUUAAGGAAAUUGCCUAUAAAAUGGCGAUUGAAUGGGUAUCCACUCUUACCCACCGCACUCUUGACUAGUGGAGGGUCGUUAGCCGAACGGGUAGGAUAGGACGAAACCUUCCAUUAUAAGUAUAAUGAAGUAUAAAAGUAACUAAAUGUUUUCAUAAAAUUCCCAAUCUUAGUUACUUAGGCAAAAGUGAAUUGAUGCAAUUCCAUGAAAUUACACUUUGUGCCCUUGCGAAGACGUUAGUGGAGCGUGUGUGGUUUACCGGCACACUAAAUGGUUCUAAGCAAAGGUAGCAAAGGGUGACUCAAUGUUUGUCAUAGUUCGGUGGAGCGUGUGUGGUUUACCGGCACAUCGAAUAGGUGACUGUAACAUGUGAGGGCACCAUGUAAGUUUGCAUGGUUAUUCACACCCGCUUUGUGAUCCUCGGCAUCCCAGUCACAAACAAAAGGGGCAUAUCGAGAUUUAAACAUGCCAUUGAAAUGUUCAAUGAAUAUCAAAGGAUCUAGGAGUUUUCAUAGAUUUAAAACUUAAAUUUCUUUUUCGUUUUUCGUGGUGGAAAUUAGUGAAUCGUCAUUCACUUACCUUCAAAUAUUCUGCAAUUAGGGUUACGGCAUCCCUCUCCCGAGUUGUAGAAUAUUGUGUUGGGUCCUAGCCUUAGUAUCUCAUUUGGGUGAUUUACUAAGGACUCAAUCAAUCAACUAACUUGAAUUUGUUUUCUCCCGUUUUGUAGAUGUCAAAGUACGACAACUAUGGUCUUCUCAAAUCCCGUGGAACAAGCAUUCCACAUGAAGAUGAUAUUCCACGAUUCGAUCGAGGAACAAGAAAUCAUGCUUCACUUCCUCCACCUCCUCCAAUUAUUCUCCCUAACCCACAAGUUCGAAGGCUUGAAAAGUUCAAGCUCACUCAAGCCCUUUUGGCAAGUAAACAUAAAGAAGGAAAGUCGGUGUGUGCACACGUCCUAGGGAUGAAGUCACACAUUGAUAAGUUAAGAAUGUUGGGAUCCGUUGUCUGUGAGGAGAUGGCUGUUGAUUGGGUUCUUCAUUCACUUCCUAACUCGUAUAGUGAGUUCAUAAGAAAGUACUAUAUGAUAAACUGCAACGUGACCCUUAUAGAUCUCACCUUUAUGCUUAUUGCUGCUGAAUCAGAAAUGGUUUGGCGCAAUAGAAAAUCAAAGUUGAUUGGUGAAUCUGCCUUCAAGACCUCUAUGGCUAUAGACAAUGACAAAGAAAGACAUGCUAUGAUCGAAAAGAUUGAUCAUAAGAGAAAGGCAAUGUCUGAAUUAGUUCCAUGUCCUGUUCCAAAAGAGUCAAUUUGCUUUUAUUGCCAAGAGAAGGGGCAUUGGAGACGAAGUUGCCCUAUUUACCUAAGAGAUCUAAGAGAUGGGAGAGUCAAAACGUAUGGCUCUACUUUAGGUAAAAUCCAUUG